GCUAUAUGAUGAACAGGAGGAGCGGGCGCCAACAUCAGUACACGCAACAUCCCAGUACAGCCAGCAAGAAGGGUUCUACCAGCAACAUAUUUUCCUUAGACAACCGUAUCAAGACAGUGCGACCUAUGCCACUGCAGCCAUGAUAAUGAUACAACUUAUUAUGCAACAAUAUGCUGCAAUAAGAUAACUUGCAAUGAUCCAGCGGAGCCCAAAGGCACUUGUCUUGUUGACAAAGUCUCAUGCGGCUGUGACGUGAGUACAUGCAAGUAGUACAUGCUGCUGAAAGUUUUUUGUGUGUGUUUUUCUUCAAUAAAUGGGGCAUUGGUGCCAAAACAUGCUUGACUCAUCUAUGGCAUUGCUCAUUGUGUCUGUGUGCAAUCUGAAUCUUCUGUUUUGCUUUUGGGUGAAAUUUGGCGAAACUGAAAACGGUUACCAGCUGACCAAGUCAUCAGUUUCGGAAACUACAGAAGUGACUUUGGUUGUGAUUCCUGGAAUUGUCAAGGAAUCCCUGCGCCAGCAAGCUGAUUUAUAUGUUGGGUGAACCACUCCAUCCAAUAUACUCCUGUUUUUCUAUGUGCUUGCUUUAACGGUGUUAAUGUGCAACCUGGUAUAUAUCUUUUGCCGCUUGAAGGAAGAGCAAUAUUGACAGUAUUAAAUUGUACAACUAUAUUCUUAUGGAAUAUAUUUUCAUAUGUAUAAUUAUUUUAAUUUGAAAAGGAAUUUUUAAUACAAAUCAUAAGUAUAGAACAGGAAGACUGAAUUGAAUCAACACAAUAUCGGAGGUCUAGUGGGGAAAUGCAUUGGGGCACCAAGAAAUAUCUGAAAUAUUUAAAAAAAAACUUAAUUUUUGGGAUAUGAAACCUGAGUGCCUAUUGUACGCCCAUGUUCAUUUUCGCGUGGAUGGGUGCCUGUGGUAUCCGUGGCGCUGGAACUACGAUACGACAUAAGAUACAUCUAUUUUUUUCUAUACAUACGAUUUUUCCUUUUUUACUGACAUUACCACAGGUAGCCCUUCCCCACGAAACUGAACGGGUGUACAACAGGCACCCAUGUUUAAUAUCCCAAAAUUUCAUUUUUUUUUGAAAACUCCUAAUAUUUUUUAAAUACUGUAUUCAUAUAGGUCUGUGUGUCAUCCAAGAGCUACAAAUCCUCUUCCAGGUCUAUUGGUCUUUUCUUUUCUUUUUCUUUCUUUUUUAAUAAAGGGAGCACUGGUGACAAAACAUGGUUGACUCUUAUAUGGCCUUGGUCAUUGUGUCCAUGUGCAAUCUGAAUCUUCUGUUUGUUUUUUGGGUAAAAUUUGGGGAAACUGAAAACAAUGAACGGCUGACCAAGUCAUCAGCUUCAGAAAUUACAGCAAUGACUUUGGUUGCAAUUUCUGGAAAACUGUACGUAUCUGCAAAAAAGAAAGAAAGAAGGAAAAUAAAAUCUCGGACGGAUCCCUUUUCCUUGGCUGAAGAGCAUCAUGGCGGAAACUAGUCAAAACAUGGUUGAAACCAAUUCAGAGUUAAUUCUUGUCCGGUUUUGCAAGUUCGAGGUUGUAAAAUAGUCAGUUUUGGGUUGUAUCUUAGACUUUGGUGGCAAUUCGGGCCCUCUUCGGGUUCACUCCGCUCCGUAGCUCUGCCCUUCGAGCGGGCGGAGUGACGCUGAACGCUGCAGCUCCUCGGAGUAGGAUGAGUGGAGCGGAGCUGGAUUUAGGGCCUGUUCGGAGUCUCACCGCUCCAGAACUCCACUCCCGUUGCGGGGUAGCUUCAACUGAAAAUAGAUGAGCGGGAAAACACCAGCUCCGCAGAUCCUCGUAUUUCUUGAAGCCGGCGGACUACCGAACAGGGCCUUAGUUUAAUCCGGCGGAGUGGCUAAUUCCUAGCUCCGCGGGGGACUCCCUGUGACCUCCCGCCCGAUCCAAAUCAAUCUCUCUCUCUCUCUCUCUCCCUCCCUCCCUCCCUCCCUCCCUCCCUCCNNNNNNNNNNNNNNNNNNNNNNNNNNNNNNNNNNNNNNNNNNNNNNNNNNNNNNNNNNNNNNNNNNNNNNNNNNNNNNNNNNNNNNNNNNNNNNNNNNNNNNNNNNNNNNNNNNNNNNNNNNNNNNNNNNNNNNNNNNNNNNNNNNNNNNNNNNNNNNNNNNNNNNNNNNNNNNNNNNNNNNNNNNNNNNNNNNNNNNNNNNNNNNNNNNNNNNNNNNNNNNNNNNNNNNNNNNNNNNNNNNNNNNNNNNNNNNNNNNNNNNNNNNUCUCUCUCUCUCUCACUCCCGCAGUGACUCCCUGGCCAUUGAACCCACUAGCGACGCUCCCUGCACCCUUUUGGCCGGAACCACCCACUAGCGAUGUUCCCCGCACCCUUCUGGAGUGGAGUCAGUUGCCAAACGUGUUAUCAACUCCCCAUUUGGCGGAAGGAGCCAUCAGUCCAGGAGUGGGGAGUGGAGUCAAGGAUCUGAAGGAGUGGAGGGGAUCCGAACACACUCUCUUGGUUGUAAUAUGUACUCCUCUCUUACUUUUCUUUGCAUGUAUUCUUAUGUCUUGAUGAGUGCUACCCAAUUUGAGUCCCACAACCUCUUGGAAUCUGUGACCUCACCGUAGCCUGGGAUUGUGGUGAACGGCCCUAGUCAUGCUAUGGAUGACCAAUGGGAUGCAUUGUCAAUGCACUCAAUCUACUUGUUGUCACUGUCAAGGAAUCCCUGCGCUAGCAAGCUGAUUUAUAUGUUGGGUGAACACUCCAUCCCGUCCUGUUUUUCUAUGUGCGUGAUUAAAUGGUGUUAAUGUACAACCUGAUAUACUAUCUUUUGCCGAUUGAAGGAUGACCAAUAUUGACAAUAUUAAACUUGUACUACUAUAUUCUUAUGGAAAAUCAUUUUUAGUACAAAUCACAAGUAUAGAACAGGAGGACGGAAUUGGAUGAAUACAACAUCGGAGGUCUAGUGGCCUUUUCUUAUCUAUAUGUAGAACAAUAGAAGAUAUGGUUUCCUAAAUGAAUUGUCCAACGCCCAGCUGUUUUCCGUGAAUGAUUCAACAUGCAAUGGUAACAAAAGAAAUUGGAAAGUUUUCGAUCAUCAACGAAUAGAAGGCAAUACUGUUAGCAUGGUCAAUCAGUACAUCCAGAAAAUUAUACAAAUCUGUAAUUUAAGUAGUUUUGGAAUUCUUCAUUUUUAUCUAAAUAUAGUUAUAUGAUUUCUAGGCACCGCUACACCUUAUUUUUUUUUACUUUCCUUAAUUGCAUUAAUCUGUAUUAAACUUACAUUAAAGACACAGAUACCUGAGGGAGUAUUAAUGGCAGGGAAUAAAAUAAAUUAAUCCAUUCAAUAAAUGCAUAUCUUUUUUGGCGCAAACAAUAAUUGGCUGCCAUCUUGCACCUUGUCAUGUAUGUGUAUAUAUUCCCAUUCUCUAUAUCUUGGCCAUUCACAAUACAAACACACAAACCGGAAAGUGAAUUCUUUUCUUAUAAGAUAUACUGAUGGCAAAAUCUUCGCAGAUGUUUGUCACCGUCAUGUGCCUUCUGCUUCUGUGCACCAGCGAUCAAGUCCAUGGUAUGUUUAUCAUAUUCAUACCAAUCUUACCAUUCCAUAUAAAUCUUAUGGAUAAACUGAUUUGCAUAAAUAAUCAAAUUGGGUCUUGUUGUAUUGGUCAAUCAGUUUAGGUGUUUUUGACUUGAUAGUACAUAUUUCUUAGUUUUUUCCUUAGGGUUGUGUCUUGUGAUGUGUUUGGAUAGAGUGAGUUCUUGCCCUCACCCUUGUACAUGUUUCUUUUUUAUUGAAAUGAUACACACAGCUCUCCUGUGUGUUUCAGAAAAAAAUGAAUCUUGAUUUCUCCUGCUAUACGUACAAAGAGAUGUCAGCGAGAUGAUGUAGUGUGUGUGCACACUUAGUUUAUCAGGUUAAUUUUCACCCAGAAGAAAUAUAAUUAUGAAUGUAUACUACAUGAUGAACAGGAGAGGACGCUAACAUCACAAGCAGCAUCCCAGUACAGCCAGCCAGAAGGUUUCUACCAGCAACAUAUUUUCCUCAGACAACCGUAUCAAGACAGUGCGACCUAUGCCACUGCAGCCAUGAUCACGAGAAAACUUAUUAUACAACAAUAUGCUGCCAGGAGAUAACUUGCAAUGAUCCAGCGCAGCCGAAAGGCAGUUGUGCACUUCGUAGACUCUCAUGCGGCUGUGACGUGAAUACAUGCAAGUAGUACAUGCAACUGGAAGUUUUCCUUGUGUGUUUUUCUUUAAUAAAGGGGCCAUUGGUGCCAAAACAUGCUUGACUCAUCUAUGGAAUUGCUCAUUGUGUGUCUGUGUGCAAUCUGAAUCUUCUGUUUUGUUUUUGGGUGAUAUUUGGCGAAACUGAAAAGGGUUACCAGCUGACCAAGUCAUCGGUUUCACAAACUACAGAAGUGACUUUGGUUGUGAUUCCUGGAAUUGUCAAGGAAUCCCUGUGCUAGCAAGCUGAUUUAUAUGUUGGGUGAACGACUCCAUCCAAUAUACUCCUGUUUUUUUAUGUGCUUGCUUUAACGGUGUUAAUGUGCAACCUGGUAUACUAUCUUUUGCCGCGUGAAGGAUGAGCAAUAUUGACAAUAUUAAAAUUGUACAACUGGUGAUCUCGUCGUGCCUUCCGCAACGCUGCGUGCUGGNNNNNNNNNNNNNNNNNNNNNNNNNNNNNNNNNNNNNNNNNNNNNNNNNNNNNNNNNNNNNNNNNNNNNNNNNNNNNNNNNNNNNNNNNNNNNNNNNNNNNNNNNNNNNNNNNNNNNNNNNNNNNNNNNNNNNNNNNNNNNNNNNNNNNNNNNNNNNNNNNNNNNNNNNNNNNNNNNNNNNNNNNNNNNNNNNNNNNNNNNNNNNNNNNNNNNNNNNNNNNNNNNNNNNNNNNNNNNNNNNNNNNNNNNNNNNNNNNNNNNNNNNNNNNNNNNNNNNNNNNNNNNNNNNNNNNNNNNNNNNNNNNNNNNNNNNNNNNNNNNNNNNNNNNNNNNNNNNNNNNNNNNNNNNNNNNNNNNNNNNNNNNNNNNNNNNNNNNNNNNNNNNNNNNNNNNNNNNNNNNNNNNAUAUUUUUCUUUUUUGUUUCUCCCACAUAGAACAUAUCUUGAAGUUCAUGAUUCUAGCUAGAAAGCUUUGCCACCCUGCAUAGGUUUGAACUUCAAGAUAUGUUCUAUGUGGGAGAAUAAAAAAAAAGAAAUCUUCAUAUAAAAAGUUAGUUGUGUUGCAUAGAUCUUAAAGCGAUAUUGAAGAGCUAGGAUAGCAGGGCCCGGUGCAAGUGCUCUAAAAAUCCACGUCCGCCGCGCCCCCCUGUCAACAGGCGUAAGACCCUGGCGGCUGGGUUCACAGAGCCCCGGAGCAGCAUCCGCAUCAAUUCGUUGCACGGCAGCACGCCCAUCGCGACGAUGGCCGAGAAAAACCUCUUCAAGAAGCUAGGAGUCGUCCAUGCCGAGCAGGAGGUCACUGAACUGGCGAUUGAGUCUUAUGUCAAGAUGUUUCAGCAAGAGUUGCCAUCUGCAGCGAUAGCGGCACUGAGGGCUCUCUUCCGCCUCGACUGCGAGCACGCUGUGGCUGUGAAAGGCGCAGUGCUGGCACAUGGAGGAGAUGGCGGACUAGAUCACGAUGUCCAUGAUGCCCAUGUCGAUGUCUAGGCGGCGCGUAUGUGCGUUUGGAGCCUCAUUUAGUUAUCCAUGUUAGACAAAGUCCUGAACUUGCUUUGUUUGGUGGCUGUAGCUAGUCGUCUCGGUGUUGGCACAGGCCCGAUCAAACGUUGCACGACGGCUCCUUGACGAGUACUUUCCGUCAACCGAACACGUACGUACGAAACCACGCUUGAUUGAUUCUUCCUGAGGCAACGUGCACGUACAAAACUAGCUGAUGGAUGUUGAAGCUAGCUAGCUUAGUACGUAGCAACGGCUGGAUACUUAAUCGAUCUAGACUAGCACAACUCGGCGAAACACAAGAUAUUUGAUGGCUAAUAGGUGCGUGUCGCACCUAUGCUUUGUAUUACUUUGAUCUGAGUUGAUUACAGAUUACAGAGGUAUACCUAUGUAUAUAUAGUAUAUAGGAUCAAACGCUCGUAAACCUACACGUCUACACAGUCCUAAUCCUAAUACUAUUAGGUGAUUGCACCAAGUCCGAGCCGGACUAGGCCACACGUCGUGGUUAUUUCCAACAAUCACCCCCCUAAACACGAUGUCCUCACUUCACAGCUUGGACGCCGAUCCUUCGCCGCAUCUUCACGAACUUCUGUCGUCCCAAAGAUCUGGUUAGGAUAUCUGCAAGCUGGUCAUCGGUGCAAACGUAGUUGAUGUCGAUCUUGCUUUCUUCCACACACUCCCUUAGGUAGCGAUAUCUCAUAUCGAUGUCCUUGCAUCUACCAUGAUGCAUUGGAUUCUUCCAUAGAGAGAUUGUAGACUCGUCAUCAAUAUUGAGCACCACUCCUUCCAGUUCCUUACCUGUGAGGUCACCAAGUAGCCUUCCAAGGCACACGCCUUGACACACCACGGUUGCAGCUGCAAUAUACUCUGCUUCACGAGAUGAUAAUGCGACCACCUUCUGCUUUUGUGAUAGCCAACUCACUAUGCUUACUCCCAAAAAAUAUGCCACGCCCGAGGUACUUUUACGGUCGUCCACAUCUCCUGCCAUGUCGCUAUCACUGUAGACUAGUAGCUCCGUCAUCUCCUUCUUCUUCUCUCUCAAAUAGACACAACCGAAGUUUGUUGUCCCUUUGAUAUACCUGAGUAUAUUUUCCACAGCUGCCUAAUGUUCCGUCGUGGGUGUUUCCAUGAAGUGACUCACUAUGCCAACGGAAUAGGCCAAGUCCGGUCUUGUAUUCGUGAGAUACCUCAACUUUCGGACCACACUUCUAUACUCCGUUGCAUCAACCGCGGGUGCUUCACUCUUUUUGCUUAGUAUAAGACGAGGCUUCAUCGGAACAUGACUUGGGUUGCAAACUUUCAUGCCACAGCUUUCAAGUACCUUCUUUGCAUAUGCCUCCUGGCAUAUUGUGAUCCCCUCCGGCUUUUGCUGUACCUCGAUCCCAAGGUAGUAACUCAAGAGCCCUAGAUCAGUCAUCUUGAAUAGCUCCUUCAUCUGUAGCUUGAAGUUUGCAAUCACCUCUUCGUCUGCUCCAGUUAUCAACAGAUCAUCCACAUAGAUACCCACUAGUAGACGAUGCCUUCCUUCACCUCGCUUAUACAUUGCAUGCUCCAAUGGGGCUUUCUUAAAUCCAAGAGAAAUCAAUGUACUAUCAAGCUUGAUAUUCCAUGCCCUAGGAGCUUGUCGUAGCCCGUACAACGCCUUGUGUAGCUUCAAUACCUUGUGUUCUUCUCCUUCUUGGAUGUACCCUGGUGGUUGCUUCACAUACAAUUCUUCUUCUAACUCCCCGGUCAAAAACGCGGAGUUCACAUCCAUGUGAUGUAUCCUCCAAGAUUCUUGAGCCGUGAGAGCUAUAAGUAGUCUCACCGUGUCCAUCUUUGUAACUGGGCCGAACACUUCUUCGAAGUCCACACCUUGCUCUUGUACGUAUCCUUUAGCCACGAGCAUUGCCUUAUACUUCACCAAGUUCCUUUUAACAUCCUUUUUGACUUUGUAUACCCACUUGAGCUCUAUGGCAUUAUGUCCGUUGGGAAGAUCCGCGAUCUCCCAUGUAUCGUUGUCUCGGAUCGAACCCAACUCUUCAUUCAUAGCACGACGCCAACACUCCUCCAUAUUUGCAUCUUAAAAAAAUUCCGGUUCCUCGAUGUGCAAACUUCGUUGCCCUUUACUUUUCAUCUUCACCGAAUUUAUCUGAAGCCCUGCUUCUAGAGAUAGAUCCAACACGCGUCGUUCGUGUGCUAUUGGAGAAUCUAAACUUGCCAAAGUUACCGUUGCUGGCGAUUUUGCUUCUUUUACCUGGCUUCCAAGCCUGCUGUUUACUGGACUCCAUCGCUGCUGCCCGUCACCUUUUUCGGCAUUGUUCGGUCCUCCGCAUGGUGGUGAACUGCCUUCUGCACAAUUUUCUGCGCCUUGCAAAUUUUCCGGGCUUUGCUUCCCUGCUUUGUCUCGUAGACCAUCACCACCACGUGGUGGUUGGUUCCCUGGCUUGUGUGCAUGAGGCAUAUAGUGGCCAGUCUCAUCCAGCCCGUUUGUUGGGCUGCACGCGCUAUCCGGCAAGGCAGCACCAGCCACGUACAUGUUGCUGCUACUGCUGCUUUCAGUUGCCGCUGGGCUGCCGCCUGCAGUGCCAGCAACCUGGCUCGCACACGUGCUCACUGAGUCAUCGAGCGAAGCACUCUCGCCCGGCUCCUGCAACGCAGCCGAUGGAGCUGGUGAACUGGCGUGUGACGCGACACCGCUCGUUGCCACCUUCACAACGCCACUAGACCCAUCCGCGCAACUCGUCGUUGCACUAUCCAAAAUCACGUAUGCGCCAAAUUCAUCUGGUCCGAGUGCAGCUCGCCGCAUGUUGCGUUCUUCUGGGGUGAUCGCUUCAUCACGCCCCGCGUCAUGUUCUUCUGGCGACACAUCUUCGCCGUUUUCUAGCGCGACCACACCAUCACGCAUUGUGUCAUGGACUUUUGACGCCACUUCAUCGCCUGAAUCUAGCGCGAACACACAGUCAUGCCUUGUGUCAUGGACUUCUGGUGCCACGUCUUCGCCGUUCUCGAGCGCGAUCACAUCGUCAUGCCUUACGUCAUAGUCUUCUGGCGCCACGACUUCGCCUGGGUUUACUGAUGUAAUCACACUAUCACGCCCUGGGUCAUGGUCUUCUGGCGCCAUAACUUCGCCUGGGUUUACUGACGCAGAUGCACUCACCGGACCCGUGUCCAGCUGACCAAGAUCAUCUGGAUCCUCUUCGUCCACUAGCUCGCACAUUAGCAUCAUAUCCCCAUCGUCUCCUUCCUCGGCCAUGAGCGCCCGUUGCUUCGGUGCUUCCUCGCAGUUAGUCUUGAAGUGACCGACGAGGCCACACUUAUGACACCUCACUUUUCUGAUGUCAAACUUCCUCCUCGGUGGUGCAGGCGCAUCCUCGUCGUCCGAGUCGGCGAAGUUCUUUCUCGCCGAGCGUUGCUUCCCCUUCCCCUUCUUCUUGCCGCUGCUCGUAGAUCCGCCUUGCUUUUCUUUCGACAGGGCGAUCCAUUGCGCCUUUGUAAGCAUGAGGUGCUCACUCGCCUCCGCGUCGCCGAAACUGAGACGAAUUCUCUCGUCAUGGGCCUUGAACCUUUCGACGAGAUCCUCAACCGUGAGAGUCUUCAGGUCGAGACAUUGCUCGAUCGACGUGACAAUCUGAAUGUAGCGUGCCGGCGCGGCGUGCAAAUAUCGUCGGACGAUCGCAACUUCUUCUAGGGUUGAACCAUAGCUGCGUAUGCCAUUGACGAGGGUCUUGAGACGGGCGGCAAACUGAUCAACCGUCUCACUUUCAUCCAUCUUCAGGCACUCGUAGCUUCUCAUCAGGGACUGAAGGUGUGCUUCCUUGACACGGUCAUGACCCUGGUGCAGGAUCUUGAUGGUCUCCCAUGCCUCCUUCGCCGAGUUCUUUCCGACGAGGUGUUGCAGCACAUCCUUCGGCAUGGCGGAGUAGAUCGCAGUUAACGCCUGACGAUCCUUCCGGUACUUCGCCGCGCCCUUUGCGUACUCGGCGCCGCCCGGGUCGACGGCUUCCCAGAACUCAGCUCCCUCCAUCGCGACCUCCAUGUUCAUCGCCCAUAGUGCGUAGUCCUCUCGAUUCAGACGGGGAAUUGUGAUCCCCCACCAUCGGCAUCGGUGCUCCCGCUGCCGCCGUCACAAUCUCCUUGCCCGUGGUCAACAUGAUCCUUCGAUUGCUUUCCGAGAAUCACGUCAAUACCAAAGCUCUAGAUACCAGUUGUUGGCACAGGCCCGAUCAAACAUUGCACGACGGCUCCUUGACGAGUACUUUCCGUCGACCGAACACGUACGUACGAAACCACGCUUGAUUAAUUCUUCCUGAGGCAACGUGCACGUACAAAACUAGCUGAUGGAUGUUGAAGCUAGCUAGCUUAGUACGUAGCAACGGCUGGAUACUUAAUCGAUCUAGACUAGCACAACUCGGCGAAACACAAGAUAUUUGAUGGCUAAUAGGUGCGUGUCGCACCUAUGCUUUGUAUUGCUUUGAUCUGAGUUGAUUACAGAUUACAGGGGUAUACCUAUGUAUAUAUAGUAUAUAGGAUCAAACGCUAGUAAACCUACACGUCUACACAGUCCUAAUCCUAAUACUAUUAGGUGAUUGCACCAAGUCCGAGCCGGACUAGGCCACACAUCAUGGUUAUUUCCAACACUCGGCUCCUUCAGAGCUGUUGUGCUAUGUUGUGAUAGCUCCUCCUGGGCUGCUCUGUUUAGAUGGGUACAUCUGCUUUUAAGCUGCUGUUUGUUGACUGUGAGUGUCUGCUGUCCUGAUGAUUAUAAGGCCCUUGCAAUCAUAUGUUGGAAUGUCAGGGGCCUAAAUUGCCCUGAUCGACGCUCAACGGUACAUGAGACCAUCGUCGCAAUGCCCUAUGAUAUCGUUUGCAUUCAAGAAUCCAAACUGCAAAACCUCGACGCCGCGACGUUCUUGGGAGGAUAUAGGCUGCGGGGGUUCACCCAAAAACCUGCGCUAGGUACUAAGGGAGGGAUAAUCCUGCUUUGGGAUGAGAAUAAGAUCCUGGUGUUUGAUGUUCACACCGGUGUUUUUGCCUCUCGGCAACGAUCACGUCACUGCUUGACCAGUACUCUUUCAGACUCUCUACGGUCUACGGGCCUACUUCACAUGCCUUGAAGGAUGAGUUCUUCUCUGAACUAGAGGCCUCUCGGCCUCCCGCAGGCACAAAAUGGCUCGUUAACGGCAACUUCAACCAAAACUACCGGGCUCGCGACAAAAGCAAUCGUAACAUUUGUCUCUCCAGGAUGAACCGUUCUCGUGACACUCUUGCUUCCUGUGAAUUGAAGGAAAUUCACCUGCAAAAUAGAAGAUUUACCUAGAGCAACGAGCGCAAUAACCCGACACUUUGCAAGCUCGAUAGCUUCUUUUGCAACGCCGAGUGGGAUCUACACUUCAACGAUCACAUCCUCCCUGCCCUCUCCUCUUCGCUUUCCGAUCAUUGCCCUCUGCUUGUGGAUGACCGUGGUCCCAAGCGCCCGCGAACCUUCAAGUUCGAAAAUUUCUGGAUCAAGCUCCCAGGGUUCCUUCAGGUCGUUAGGGACCCUUGGGAUACACCCGUUCCUCACACCGAACCUUGUCAUAAGGUGUAUCACAAGCUUGCUAAUACCACGAAAAGGCUUCGCAAGUGGGGUCCUGACUUCUUCUCUGAGGCUAAGUUGCAGCUGCACAUGGCCCUUUCGGUCAUCCUCCGGCUCGACGAAGCACACGAUACCUGCCCUCUCUCUCUUGCUGAGGCUGACAUCCGUCGUAGGCUUAAGAGGCGAGUGAACUAGCUGUGCUGGAAAGAUCUAGGAAGAAGCAAUGUGCGAGAAUUACCAACCUCUGAAAGGGUGACGCAAACACUAAAUUCUUUCAUCGGAGAGUCAAUGCUAGGAGGAGAAAAAAAGUUAUCCACCGUUUGUGUACGGGUCAUGGAUGGGCUACAAAGCACGAUGACAAGGAGCAAGUCAUCCAGCAGCAUUUCGCCUCCUCGUUUGCCAAGGGGCCACCCAAGAAGCGUGACUUUAUUUGGGAGGCCUUGCCAUUGCCCGUGGUGGACCUCUCUUCCCUUUGCGAGCCGUUCACCGAGCUAGAGCUUUGGGAGGCCAUCAAGGUCUGCCCGGAGACAAGGCCACCGGUCCGGAUGGAUUCUCAGGCGCGUUCUUCAAGUCUUGCUGGACCAUUAUAAAAGAUGACCUCAUGGAGGUUAUUCUUGCUUUCUCCAGUCUGCACUCGGCUAGCUUGCAUUGGCUCAACUCGGCCAAUAUCACCCGCCUGCCAAAGAAAGAUGGUGCCCAGUCUAUUGGUGAUUUCCGCCCCAUUAGCCUCAUCCACGCGGUGGCAAAAAUUAUUGCCAAGAUGUUAGCAUCCCGGCUUGCUCCUUUCAUGAACAAGCUUACAUCACAUGCGCAGAGUGCGUUUAUCAAGACAAGGAGCAUACAAGACAACUUCCUAUUUGUCCACAACUACGCUCGCAGACUCCAGCGCACCAAAACCUCGGCCAUGUUGUGCAAGCUUGACAUCAAGAAGGCUUUCGACUCUGUCAGCUGGGAGUACAUGUUCGAUCUACUACAGCGGCUGGGCUUUCCUUCGCGUUUCAGAGAUUGGUUGGCUGCUCUUUGGUCUUCUGCAUCGUCCAGAGUAAUCAUCAAUGGAAUACCGGGAAAGCCAAACGCCCAUAGCUGUGGACUGCGUCAGGCAGCCCCUGUGUCGCCGCUUCUAUUCGUGCUCGACAUCGACCCCUUGCAGUACAUCCUUGAAGCCGCCACCUGCAAUGGUGACUUGCAUCCGCUGAAGGAAAUAUGCCCUAGAGGCAAUAAUAAAGUUAUUAUUUAUUUCCUUAUAUCAUGAUAAAUAUUUAUUAUUCAUGCUAGAAUUGUAUUAACCGGAAACAUAAUACAUGUGUGAAUACAUAGACAAAUAGAGUGUCACUAGUAUGCCUCUACUUGACUAGCUCGUUGAUCAAAGAUGGUUAUGUUUCCUAGCCAUAGACAGGAGUUGUCAUUUGAUUAACGGGAUCACAUCAUUAGGAGAAUGAUGUGAUUGACUUGACCCAUUCCGUUAGCUUAGCACUUGAUCGUUUAGUAUUCUGCUAUUGCUUUCUCCAUGACUUAUAGAUGUUCCUAUGACUUUGAGAUUAUGCAACUCCCGUUUACCGGAGGAACACUUUGUGUGCUACCAAACGUCACAACGUAACUAGGUGAUUAUAAAGAUGCUCUACAGGUGUCUCCAGAGGUACUUGUUGGGUUGGCGUAUUUCGAGAUUAGGAUUUGUCACUCCAAUUGUCGGAGAGGUAUCUCUGGGCCCACUCGGUAAUACACAUCACUAUAAGCCUUGCAAGCAUUGUAACUAAUGAGUUAGUUGCGGGAUGAUGUGUUACGGAAUGAGUAAAGAGACUUGCCGGUAACGAGAUUGAACUAGGUAUUGAGAUACCGACGAUCGAAUCUCGGGCAAGUAACAUACCGAUGACAAAGGGAACAACGUAUGUUGUUAUGCGGUUUGACCGAUAAAGAUCUUCGUAGAAUAUGUGGGAGCCAAUAUGAGCGUCCAGGUUCCGCUAUUGGUUAUUGACCGGAGACGUGUCUCGGUCAUGUCUACAUAGUUCUCGAACCCGUAGGGUCCGCACGCUUAAAGUUCGGUGACGAUUUGUAUUAUGAGUUAUGUAAUUUGAUGUACCGAAGGUAGUUCGGACUCCCGGAUGAGAUCGUGGACAUAACGAGGAGUCUCGAAAUGGUCGAGACGUAAAGAUCGAUAUAUUGGACGACUAUAUUCGGACAUCGAAAAGGUUCCGAGUGAUUCGGGUAUUUUCGGAGUACCGGGGAGUUACGGGAAUUCACCGGGAGAAGUAUUGGGCCUUAUUGGGCCAUACGGGAAUAGAGGAGAGAGGCCAAAAGGAAGGGGGCGCGCGCCCCCCUCUGGUCCGAAUUGGACAAGGGGUGCAGCCCCCUUUUCCUUCUCCCUCUCCCCCUCUUUCCUUAUCUCCUACUCCGGAAAGGAAAGGGGAAUCCUACUAGGACUUGGGAGUCCUAGUAGGACUCCCCACACUUGGCGCGGCCCCUCUAGGGCCAGCCUCUCCCUCCCUCCUUUAUAUACGGGGGCAGGGGGGCACCCCAUGGAGACACAAGUUGAUCUGUUGAUCUCUCCCAGCCGUGUGCGGUGCCCCCCUCCAUCAUAUUCCACCUCGGUCAUAUCGUAGCGGUGCUUAGGCGAAGCCCUGCAUCGGUAGAACCAUCAUCACCGUCACCACGCCGUCGUGCUGAUGGAACUCUCCCGUGAAGCUCUGCUAGAUCGGAGUUCGCGGGACGUCAUCGAGCUGAACGUGUGCUGAACUCGGAGAUGCCGUACGUUCGGUACUUGGAUCGGUCGGAUCGUGAAGACGUACGACUACAUCAACCGCGUUGUGCUAACGCUUCCGCUUUCGGUCUAUGAGGGUACGUGGACACACUCUCCCCUCUCGUUACUAUGCGUCACCAUGAUCCUGUGUGUGCGUAGGAAUUUUUUUGAAAUUACUACGUUUCCCAACAGUGGACCAUUCCGGAACCCUUCAGCCCGGGACCCUUCUGAUGUACAAAUCUUUACCUCUGGACCAUUCCGGAACUCCUCGUGAUGUCCGGGAUCUCAUCCGGGACUCCGAACAACUUUCGGGUUACCGCAUACUAAUAUCUCUACAACCCUAGCGUCACCGAACCUUAAGUGUGUAGACCCUACGGGUUCGGGAGACACGCAGACAUGACCGAGACGACUCUCCGGUCAAUAACCAACAGCGGGAUCUGGAUACCCAUGUUGGCUCCCACAUGCUCCUCGAUGAUCUCAUCGGAUGAACCACGAUGUCGAGGAUUCAAGUAAUCCCGUAUACAAUUCCCUUUGUCAAUCGGUACGUUACUUGCCCGAGAUUCGAUCGUCGGUAUCCCAAUACCUCGUUCAAUCUCGUUACCGACAAGUCACUUUACUCGUACCGUAAUGCAUGAUCCCGUGACCAAUCACUUGGUCACAUUGAGCUCAUUAUGAUGAUGCAUUACCGAGUGGGCCCAGAGAUACCUCUCCGUCAUACGGAGUGACAAAUCCUAGUCUCGAUCUGUGCCAACCCAACAGACACUUUCGGAGAUACCUGUAGUGCACCUUUAUAGCCACCCAGUUACGUUGUGACGUUUGGUACACCCAAAGCAUUCCUACGGUAUCCGGGAGUUGCACGAUCUCAUGGUCUAAGGAAAUGAUACUUGACAUUAGAAAAGCUUUAGCAAACGAACUACACGAUCUAGUGCUAUGCUUAGGAUUGGGUCUUGUCCAUCACAUCAUUCUCCCAAUGAUGUGAUCCCGUUAUCAAUGACAUCCAAUGGCCAUGGUCAGGAAACCGUAACCAUCUAUUGAUCAACGAGCUAGUUAACUAGAGGCUCACUAGGGACAUGUUAUGGUCUAUGUGUUCACACAUGUAUUACGAUUUCCAGAUAACACAAUUAUAGCAUGAACAAUAGGCAAUAAUCAUGAACAAGGAAAUAUAAUAAUAACUAUUUUAUUAUUGCCUUUAGGGCAUAUUUCCAACAGUCUCCCACUUGCACUAGAGUCAAUAAUCUAGUUACAUUGUGAUGAAUCGUACACCCAUAGAGUUCUGGUGUUGAUCAUGUUUCGCUCGUGGAAGAGGUUUAGUCAAUGGAUCUGCGACAUUCAAAUCCAUAUGCACUUUACAAAUAUCUAUGUCUCCAUUUUGAACAUUUUCACGAACGGAGUUGAAGCGACGCUUGAUGUGCUUGGUCUUCUUAUGAAACCUGGGCUCCUUGGCAAGGACAAUAGCUCCAGUGUUGUCACAGAAGAGAGUCAUCGCCCCUGAUGCAUUGGGAAUAACUCCUAGGUCGGCAAUGAACUCCUUCAUCCAGAUUGCUUCAUGUGUUGCCUCCGAGGCUGCCAUGUACUCCGCUUCACAUGUAGAUCCCGCCACAACGCUUUGCUUGCAACUGCACCAGCUGACUGCCCCACCAUUCAAAAUAUACACGUAUCCGGUUUGUGACUUAGAGUCAUCCAGAUCUGUGUCGAAGCUAGCAUCGACGUAACCCUUUACGACGAGCUCUUCGUCACCUCCAUAAACGAGAAACAUAUCCUUAGUCCUUUUCAGGUACUUCAGGAUUCAUGCCGGGAUUACUUUGGUACCUUCCUACCAAACUUACGGCAAGGUUUACAUCAGGUCUGGUACACAGCAUGGCAUACAUAAUAGACCCUAUGGCCGAGGCAUAGGGGAGGACACUCAUCUUUUCUUUAUCUUCUGUCGUGGUCGGGCAUUGAGCCGUGCUCAAUCUCACACCUUGCAAUACAGGCAAGAACCCCUUCUUGGACUGAUCCAUAUUGAACUUCUUCAAUAUCUUGUCAAGGUAUGUGCUUUGCGAAAGAUCUAUGAGGCGUCUCGAUCUAUCUCUAUAGAUCUUGAUGCCUAAUAUGUAAGCAGCUUCUCCAAGGUCCUUUAUUGAAAAACACUUAUUCAAGUAGGCCUUUAUACUUUCCAAGAAUUCUAUAUCAUUUCCCAUCAAUAGUAUGUCAUCCACAUAUAAUAAGAGAAAUGCUACAGAGCUCCCACUCACUUUCUUGUAAACACAUGCUUCUCCAUAAGUCUGCGUAAACCCAAACGCUUUGAUCAUCUCAUCAAAGCGAAUGUUCCAACUCCGAGAUGCCUGCACCAGCCCAUAGAUUGAGCGCUGGAGCUUGCAUACUUUGUUAGCAUUCUUAGGAUAGACAAAACCUUCCGGCUGCAUCAUAUACAAUUCUUCCUUAAGAAAGCCGUUAAGGAAUGCCGUUUUGACGUCCAUUUGCCAUAUCUCAUAAUCGUAGAAUGCGGCAAUUGCUAACAUGAUUCGGACGGACUUCAGCUUCGCUACGGGUGAGAAGGUCUCAUCAUAGUCAACUCCUUGAACUUGUCGAUAACCCUUAGCGACAAGUCGAGCUUUAUAUAUGGUAACAUUUCCAUCCGCGUCCGUCUUCUUCUCAAACAUCCAUUUAUUUUCUAUUGCUCGCCGAUCAUCGGGCAAGUCUGUCAAAGUCCAUACUUUGUUUUCAUACAUGGAUCCUAUCUCGGACUGCAUGGCUUCAAGCCAUUUGUUGGAAUCUGGACCCGCCAUUGCUUCUUCAUAGUUCGAAGGUUCACCGUUGUCCAACAACAUGAUUUCCAGAACAGGGUUGCCGUACCACUCUGGUGCGGAACGUGUCCUUGUGGACCUACGAAGUUCAGUGGUAACUUGAUCAUGAUCAUCAUCAUUAACUUCCUCUCUAGUCGGUGUAGGCACCACAGAAACAUUUUCUUGUGCUGUGCUACUUUCUGGUUCGAGAGGGGUCAUCUCAUCAAGUUCCACUUUCCUCCCACUUACUUCUUUCGAGAGAAACUCCUUCUCCAGAAAGGACCCAUUCUUGGCAACGAAGAUCUUGCCUUCGGAUCUGUGGUAGAAGGUAUACCCAAUGGUUUCCUUAAGGUAUCCUAUGAAGACGCAUUUUUCCGACUUGGGUUCGAGCUUUUCAGGUUGAAGUUUCUUGACAUAAGCAUCGCAUCCCCAAACUUUAAGAAACGACAGCUUAGGUUUCUUUCCAAACCAUAAUUCAUACGGUGUCGUCUCAACGGAUUUCGACGGAGCCCUAUUUAAAGUGAAUGCGGCAGUCUCUAAAGCAUAACCCCAGAAUGAUAGCGGUAGAUCGGUAAGAGACAUCAUAGAUCGCACCAUAUCCAAUAGAGUGCGAUUACGACGUUUGGACACACCAUUACGCUGAGGUGUUCCAGGCGGCGUGAGUUGUGAAACAAUUCCACAUUUCCUUAAGUGUGUGCCAAAUUCGUGACUCAAAUAUUCCCCUCCAUGAUCAGAUCGUAAGAACUUUAUUUUCCUGUCACGUUGAUUCUCAACCUCACUCUGAAAUUCCUUGAACUUUUCAAAGGUCUCAGACUUGUGUUUCAUUAAGUAGACAUACCCAUAUCUACUCAAGUCAUCAGUGAGGGUGAGAACAUAACGAUAGCCACCGCGAGCCUCAACGCUCAUUGGACCGCACACAUCAGUAUGUAUGAUUUCCAAUAAGUUGGUUGCUCGCUCCACUGUUCCGGAGAACGGAGUCUUGGUCAUUUUGCCCAUGAGGCAUGGUUCGCACGUGUCAAAUGAUUCAUAAUCAAGAGACUCCAAAAGUCCAUCUGCAUGGAGUUUCUUCAUGCGUUUGACACCAAUGUGACCAAGGCGGCAGUGCCACAAGUAUGUGGGACUAUCAUUAUCAACCUUACAUUUCUUGGCAUUCACACUAUGAAUAUGUGUAACAUCACGUUCGAGAUUCAUUAAGAAUAAACCAUUGACCAGCGGGGCAUGACCAUAAAACAUAUCUCUCAUAUGAAUAGAACAACCAUUAUUCUCGGAUUUAAAUGAGUAGCCAUCUCGCAUUAAACGAGAUCCAGAUACAAUGUUCAUGCUCAAAGCUGGCACUAAAUAACAAUUAUUGAGGUUUAAAACUAAUCCCGUAGGUAAAUGUAGAGGUAGCGUGCCGACGGCGAUCACAUCGACCUUGGAACCAUUCCCGACGCGCAUCGUCACCUCGUCCUUCGCCAGUCUCCGCUUAUUCCGCAGCUCCUGCUUUGAGUUACAAAUAUGAGCAACCGCACCGGUAUCAAAUACCCAGGAGCUGCUACGAGCGCUGGUUAGGUACACAUCAAUAACAUGUAUAUCACAUAUACCUUUGGUAUUGCCGGCCUUCUUAUCCGCUAAGUACUUGGGGCAGUUCCGCUUCCAGUGACCGUUUCCCUUGCAAUAAAAGCACUCAGUCUCAGGCUUAGGUCCAUUCUUUGUCUUCUUCCCGGCAGCUUGUUACCGGGCGCGGCAACUCCCUUGCCGUCUUUCUUGAAGUUCUUCUUACCCUUGACUUUCUUGAACUUAGUGGUUUUAUUCACCAUCAACACUUGAUGCUCCUUUUUGAUCUCCACCUCCGCUGAUUUCAGCAUUGAAUAUACCUCAGGAAUGGUCUUUUCCAUCCCCUGCAUAUUGAAGUUCAUCACAAAGCUCUUGUAGCUAGGUGGGAGCGACUGAAGGAUUCUGUCAACGACCGCGUCAUCCGGGAGAUUAACUCCCAGCUGAGACAAGCGGUUGUGCAACCCAGACAUUUUGAGUAUGUGUUCGCUGACGGAACUAUUUUCCUCCAUCUUACAACUGUAGAACUUGUCGGAGACUUCAUAUCUCUCGACCCGGGCAUGAGCUUGGAAAACCAUUUUCAGCUCUUGGAACAUCUCAUAUGCUCCGUGCUGCUCAAAACGUUUUUGAAGUCCCGGUUCUAAGCUGUAAAGCAUGCCGCACUGAACCAGGGAGUAAUCAUCACUACGCGACUGCCAGGCGUUCAGAACGUCUUGAGUUGCUGGGAAAACAGGUGCAUCACCUAGCGGUGCUUCAAGGGCAUAUGCUUUCUUGGCAGCUAUGAGGAUAAUCUUCAGGUUACGGACCCAGUCCGUGUAGUUGCUACCAUCGUCUUUCAGCUUGGUUUUCUCUAGGAACGCGUUGAAGUUGAGGGCAACAUUAGCGUGGGCCAUUUGAUCUACAAGACAUAUUGUAAAGAUUUUUAGACUAAGUUCAUGAUAAUUAAGUUCAUCUAAUCAAAUUAUUAACGAACUCCCACUCAGACAGACAUCACUCUAGUCAUCUAAGUGAUACAUGAUCCGAGUCAACUAGGCCGUGUCCGAUCAUCACGUGAGACGGACUAGUCAUCAUCGGUGAACAUCUUCAUGUUGAUCGUAUCUGUUAUACGACUCAUGUUCGACCUUUCGGUCUCUUGUGUUCCGAGGCCAUGUCUGUACAUGCUAGGCUCGUCAAGUCAACCUAAGUGUAUUGCGUGUGUAAAUCUGGCUUACACCCGUUGUAUGCGAACGUUAGAACCUAUCACACCCGAUCAUCACAUGGUGCUUUGGAACAACGAACUUUCGCAAUGGUGCACAGUUAGGGGUAACACUUUCUUGAAAUUUUAGCGAGGGAUCACCUUAUUUAUGCUACCGUCGUUCUAAGCAAAUAAGAUAUAAAACAUGAUAAACAUCACAUGCAAUCAAAUAGUCACAUGAUAUGGCCAAUAUCAUUUUGCUCCUUUUGAUCUCCAUCUUCGGGGCGCCAUGUUCAUCAUCGUCACCGGUAUGACACCAUGAUCUCCAUCAUCAUGAUCUCCAUCAUCGUGUCUUCAUGAAGUUGUCUCGCCAACUAUUACUUCUACUGCUAUGGCUAACGGUUAGCAAUAAAGUAAAGUAAUUACAUGACGUUCCAGUUGACACACAGGUCAUAAAUAAAUUAAGACAACUCCUAUGGCUCCUGCCGGUUGUCAUACUCAUCGACAUGCAAGUCGUGAUUCCUAUUACAAGAACAUGAUCAAUCUCAUACAUCACAUAUAUCAUUCAUCACAUCCUUCUGGCCAUAUCACAUCACAUGACACUUGCUGCAAAAAUAAGUUAGACGUCCUCUAAUUGUUGUUGCAAACUUUUACGUGGCUGCUAUAGGUUUCUAGCAAGAACGAUUCUUACCUAUGCCAAAACCACAACGUGAUAUGCCAAUUUCUAUUUACCCUUCAUAAGGACCCUUUUCAUCGAAUCCGAUCCGACUAGCCACCUUAUGCAACUAGUGCAUGUCAGUCGGUGGAACCUGUCUCACGUAAGCGUACGUGUAAGGUCGGUCCGGGCCGCUUCAUCCCACGAUGCCGCCGAAUCAAGAUAAGACUAGUAACGGCAAGUAAAUUGACAAAAUCGACGCCCACAACAACUUGUGUUCUACUCGUGCAUAGAAACUACGCAUAGACCUAGCUCAUGAUGCCACUGUUGGACGGCACCGAUGAUCCUAGCGCCGAACGGACGGCACCUUCGCGUUCAACACACGUACGGUUGGGAGAGACGUCUCCUCCUUCUUGAUCCAGCAAGGGGAAGGAGAGGUUGAUGGAGAUCCAGCAGCACGACGGCGUGGUAGUGGAAGCAGCGGGAAUCUCGGCAGGGCUUCGCCAAGCUCAGCGAGAGGGAGAGGUGUUACGGGGGAGAGGGAGGCGCCAGGGGCUUGGGUGCGCAGCCCUCCCUCCCCCCUUUAUAUAGGGGCCCUGGGGGGCGCCGGCCCCUAGAGAUCUAAUCUCAAGGGGGGGGGGCGGCCAAGGGGGGACUUGCUCCCCAAGUCAGGUGGGGCGCCCCCCACCCCCAGGGUUUCCAACCCUAGGCGCAGGGGAAGGCCCAUGGGGGGCGCACCAGCCCACCAGGGGCUGGUUCCCUUCCCACUUCAGCCCAUGGGGCCCUCCGGGAUAGGUGGCCCCACACGGUGGACCCCCGGGACCCUUUCGAUAUACAAAUCUUUACCUCUGGACCAUUCCGGAACUCCUCGUGAUGUCCGGGAUCUCAUCCGGGAAUCCGAACAACUUUCGGGUUACCGCAUACUAAUAUCUCUACAACCCUAGCGUCACCGAACCUUAAGUGUGUAGACCCUACGGGUUCGGGAGACACGCAGACAUGACCGAGACGACUCUCCGGUCAAUAACCAACAGCGGGAUCUGGAUACCCAUGUUGGCUCCCACAUGCUCCUCGAUGAUCUCAUCGGAUGAACCACGAUGUCGAGGAUUCAAGUAAUCCCGUAUACAAUUCCCUUUGUUAAUCGGUACGUUACUUGCCCGAGAUUCGAUCGUCGGUAUCCCAAUACCUCGUUCAAUCUCGUUACCGACAAGUCACUUUACUCGUACCGUAAUGCAUGAUCCCGUGACCAAUCACUUGGUCACACUGAUCUCAUUAUGAUGAUGCAUUACCGAGUGGGCCCAGAGAUACCUCUCCGUCAUACGGAGUGACAAAUCCCAGUCUCGAUCUGUGCCAACCCAACAGACACUUUCGGAGAUACCUGUAGUGCACCUUUAUAGCCACCCAGUUACGUUGUGACGUUUGGUACACCCAAAGCAUUCCUACGGUAUCCGGGAGUUGCACGAUCUCAUGGUCUAAGGAAAUGAUACUUGACAUUAGAAAAGCUUUAGCAAACGAACUACACGAUCUAGUGCUAUGCUUAGGAUUGGGUCUUGUCCAUCACAUCAUUCUCCCAACGAUGUGAUCCCGUUAUCAAUGACAUCCAAUGGCCAUGGUCAGGAAACCGUAACCAUCUAUUGAUCAACGAGCUAGUUAACUAGAGGCUCACUAGGGACAUGUUAUGGUCUAUGUGUUCACACAUGUAUUACGAUUUCCGGAUAACACAAUUAUAGCAUGUACAAUAGGCAAUUAUCAUGAACAAGGAAAUAUAAUAAUAACCAUUUUAUUAUUGCCUCUAGGGCAUAUUUCCUACAGAUAUAUUGGACGACUAUAUUCGGACAUCGGAAAGAUUCCGAGUGAUUCGGAUAUUUUCGGAGUACCGGGGAGUUACGAGAAUUCACCGGGAGAAGUAUUGGGCCUUAUUGGGCCAUACGGGAAUAGAGGAGGGAGGCCAAAAGGAAGGAGGCGCGCGCCCUCCCUCGGGUCCGAAUUGAACAAGGGGUGCGGCCCCCUUUUCCUUCUCCCUCUCCCCCUCUUUCCUUCUCUCCUACUCCUACUACUUGGAAGGGCUCCUAGUUCUACUAGGAAAAGGUGAAUCCUACUCCCGGUGGGAGUAGGACUCCCCUAGGGCGCGCCAUAGAGAGGGUCGGCCCUCCCCCUCCUCCACUCCUUUAUAUACGGGGAGGGGGGCACCCCUUGGAGACAGAACAAUUGAUCUCUUGAUCUCUUAGCCGUGUGCGGUGCCCCCCUCCACCAUAUUCCACCUCGGUCAUAUCGUAGCGGUGCUUAGGCGAAGCCCUGCGUCGGUAGCAACAUCAUCACCGUCAUCACGCCGUCGUGCUAACGGAACUCUCCUGUGAAGCUCUGCUGGAUCGGAGUUCGCGGGACGUCAUCGAGCUGAACGUGUGCUGAACUCGGAGGUGCCGUACGUUCGGUACUUGGAUCGGUCGGAUCGUGAAGACGUACGACUACAUCAACCGCGUUGUGCUAACGCUUUCGCUCUCGGUCUACGAGGGUACGUGGACACACUCUCCCCUCUCGUUGCUAUGCAUCACCAUGAUCCUGUGUGUGCGUAGGAAAUUUUUUAAAAUUACUAUGUUCACCAACAAAUAUCACCAUGGCUGGACGAAAUACUUACGCCAAGUCGUCCAUAACCUCCCAAGCCAUCCAUCAGCUCAUACCACUACACAUGAAGAAGGGUGUUCUGCACGAGAUCAUUAAGAUUAUAAGGGCUUUCCUAUGGUCUGGCACACACAAGGUUAAUGGAGGAAAAUGCAAAGUGAGGUGGGAGAUUGUGUGCAGGCCAACUUCUCCGGGUGGUCUAGGCAUCCUGGAGUUGGACAAAUUCUCCCCUGCCCUGAGGUUGUGUUGGCCUUGGUGGGAGUGGAAGGACCCCCGAAGAGCUUGGGUUGGGCUAGGUACUCCUUGUGACGAUGAGGACAUGGACCUUUUCUAUAAGGCCACGUCCGUCACGCUUAGGGAUGGGAGGACAACCAAGUUUUGGCACGCGCCGUGGCUAGGAGGGGCCAAGCCUAAGGAUAUUGCACCCUCCAUCUUCGACGUCUCUAGGUUUACCAAAGGUUGCGUCCAAAUUAAAAGCUAUGCACAACGGCGACUGGGUCCGGCACAUCAACACCUCCAAAAUCACCACCGCACAACAUAUUUUUGAGUUCGUGGCUCUCUGGGAGAAGGUGGCCAUUGUACAGCUGCAGGACACCACCCCAGAUCACAUUGUUUGCACGCUAUAUGCCUCUGGAGUUUACGAUGCCACCUCGGCUUACCGGGCCCAAUUUGAUGACAUUGCUCCUACAACUAUGAACCCACUGGUUUGGAAAAACUGGGCCCCUUCCAAAAUGCAAAAUAUUUGCAUGGCUCGUGCUUCAAGAUAGAGUCUGGACGACCGAUAGAUUGCAGUGGGGUUGGCCAAACUGUGGAGUUUGCCAGCUCUGCAAAGUCCAGGGAGAGUCGGCCGCACACAUGCUCUUCAAGCGUCGAUACUCCGUGCGCAUCUGGAGGAUGAUCCAAUCCUGGCUUGGUCUGGUUGGCUUGGACCCCGACUCUUGGAGCGCGCUUGUUUCGAUCAAGGAGUGGUGGUCCUCCUUGUGCCUUCCUGCUGGUAGACGGCGCCGUGCUUUGUCCUCCCUCCUUCUGCUUGUCGUGUGGGAGCUGUGGAACAAGAGCAAUGCUCGCGUCUUCCAUGGAAUCUCCUCCAUGCCUUCUGCGGUCUUCGCCAAAAUCAAGCAUGAGGCUUCCCUUUGGGGUUUGGACGGUGCUAAGCACUUGAGAACUUUGAUGCCGCGAGAGUAGUCCCGUUUCUUUUUCUGGGCAUCUAUGUCCCUAUUACUUUGUUGUAAAACUCCUUAUUGAAUAUGAUGAGGCAAAGCUUUUGCCUCCAUUUCAAAAAAAAUGUGUACAACUAUAUUCUUAUGGAAUAUAUUUUCAUAUGUACAAUUAUUUUAAUUUGAAAAGGAAUUUUUAAUACAAAUCAUAAGUAUAGAACAGGAAGGCUGAAUUGGAUGAACACAAUAUCGGAGGUCUGGGGAAAUGCAUUGAGCACCAAGAAAUAUCUGAAAAUUUCAAAACAAAAAAAUUGAAUUUUUGAGAUAUGAAACCUGGGUGCCCGUUGUACACCCAUGUUCAUUUUCAUGUGGAAUGGGUGCCUGUGCUAUCCGUGGCACUGGAAUUACCGUGUGAUAUAAGAUACAUCUAUUUUUUUUAUACAUAUGAUGUUUUCCAUUUUUACUGACAUUACCACGGGCAGCCCUUCCCCACGAAACUAAACACGGCAGGGAUUCCUUGACAAUUCCAUGAAUACUCGCCUCAGCAUGCGCACGUAUUUCCUCCUUUUCCUUUUGGACCCGCAGCCACAUGAGGGCGAGAAGACCGAUGGAUAUGGUGUGGUGUGGAUCAUCAGUUUCGUCGACGGCCUGAUUGAUGGGUUCUUGUGUUGCUGCCUUAGCUUGCUUUUUAUUCACAAGUGCCGCUGGCUCUUAGCUUGUGUGACUGAAGAAGGACGGACCUCGUCGUGGUGAAGCCCGAGGCCAUCACGAGGGAUGAAGCCGUUCUCGUCGAGAUUAGUUAGUUUGUCUUGUUUUUCUCAGAGUUGUGAAUAACAAAUGGAUGAUAGCUUGUUUGUUGUGUUGAUUUUUGUAGUGGAACAUGUUGCUUACAACACGCUUUGGUAGGAUGCAUUGUGAGUAGUAGCUCUUAGAAAUCAUCCUGGUAUGUUAUUGUCGGCGUAGGAGGAGGCAAAACACACAAGUUUGCAAUUCACUUGUUGUAUUUGUGCUCUCAUAUGUGAUAUCUCAUUUACACCAUUGGUAUUCUUCUCAAUUUUCUCGCCUCUUGGAUCAAGGAAAUGCUUAUUUUUUUUGCCUGAUGAGAUGGAUCAUACAUGUAUCAAUGACCAACAGCCGUGUAUAUGUGUAUGUAUGUAUGUAUGUAUGUAUGUAUGUAUGUAUGUAAAAGAGAUGUAGUGGCUGGCUUUUAGAAAGAAAGAAAGAAAAUUCUUCCAGUUGUAUAUUUGGUAUUGAUGGGGAAAACAAGUCAAGUCGGUUAGGUACAAAGAUACUCUCUCUAUUUGAAAAUACUUGAUGUGAUUUUGAACUAAAACCAUGCCAAGUAUACCGAAUGGAGGGAGUAUUAUAUUUCUGCUCUCACUUAUUUAGAUUUGCUUAUGACGGAUUGUUCAUCAUACUCAUUAUUCGUCCUUGCGAAAUAAUAUAACUAUUUUAUUACCGUUAAUGUGUGGAUGAAACAAUUUACUGCUUCAUCAUUCAACGUUCUAGUCUAGCAAAAACUGUCAUCAUCAGUUCAUCCAGAAUAGAUUUACAAACUGGUUGCUAUCUACCGGCAGCGAUGAUGACCCUGUCUAGGGUCUUGGUUGUAUUUUCUUCUUUGUGCAAGGUCUUUUCGCUUUCUGUGGGACAGCUGUACUUCUUGACGGUUCCUGGGUGUUCUAAUAAAAUUCACAGGUUAUUUGCAAAAGCAAAAAAAAGAGAGCAUAAGUUGAAUGCUGACCAUAAAGAAUAGAGUAAUUAGGAAAUGAAUUAUAACUGGGGUGAAAAUUCCAUCCGACGUACUCUUAGUACCCCGAAUGGAUGGAUCCUUCAAUUCCACCUACACACUAUAUAAUUGAGUACCUACCAACCUUGCGUUUUUUGAGGGAGCACUAAGGCUGGCCAUAGUAGUGGUAUCAUAGCUGGUAUCAUGCACUCGGAAAUAGCAAACUCGCUGAUGUGGCAAAAAAUUAAAAAAAAGAGGGUUAGAGCAACAUAGGUAGAUACCGUAUCAUGUUAAAUCCUAUGCUACUUUGUGUCAUGCAUGACAAUAAAUAUGAUUAUCGAUGAUACUACUCUAUGAUGCUAUACACUAUGGAGGUAGUAUCAUACACUAAUAUCAUAUGCAUGAUACUAGUAUAUGAUACUCCCCACUAUGAGUAGCCUAUAAAGCUCUCCAUAGAUGGAUGGAUGGAUGGAUACUAGGCAAUCCCUCCAAGCUAGAUCCUUCAAUUCUCCCUCGAAAACUAGGUGUGCCCCUUGAAUUGUCUCCCAAACCAACGNNNNNNNNNNNNNNNNNNNNNNNNNNNNNNNNNNNNNNNNNNNNNNNNNNNNNNNNNNNNNNNNNNNNNNNNNNNNNNNNNNNNNNNNNNNNNNNNNNNNNNNNNNNNNNNNNNNNNNNNNNNNNNNNNNNNNNNNNNNNNNNNNNNNNNNNNNNNNNNNNNNNNNNNNNNNNNNNNNNNNNNNNNNNNNNNNNNNNNNNNNNNNNNNNNNNNNNNNNNNNNNNNNNNNNNNNNNNNNNNNNNNNNNNNNNNNNNNNNNNNNNNNNNNNNNNNNNNNNNNNNNNNNNNNNNNNUCACCCACUCCUCUCCUCUCCAUGAUAUGGUGGCUGGCACCCCGUGCCCCCGCCCCCAUUGCUAGCUCCUCUUUUCUCCUUAUUAGUCCAACACUUCACACGCUCAUGUACAACAUCGCCGACCUGCCCCUACCAUGAUGCAUCUCCGACCGGCUUGCAUGUUUGUUCCGCGCUCUCUAAUCGAUGUAAAACCGCGCGCUGCUUUCUCCAACUAAUCUCCUUCUUGAAGGAAAUCAGUCAAUCUUGGCACUCAGCCUAUUGCCCUUUAUCUUUUAUUUAUUUAUCGACCUGCUGAUGCAUCUGUUGACAUGGAAGGGAAAUGCGGACCAGGCAGGAGCACAACGAAAACCCGGGCAGUAGAUAGCAUAUAUGUUUCCACCACGACGAUGCGACAUCUGCAUCAAUUCAAGCAAAGGUUAGUGGAAAAAUUAGUAUAUGCAUUGACAAUGUGUAAUCCUCCUUUCCAGUUCUUAGACCAUCCUGUUCCAUUAUGCUCAUAUGCCGUAGCAUUUUGAGAGUCACUAUCUGGAUAACUUACAAGGCAUGGUUUCUGCAGAUUUUGAAUCUGAGGUGGAAAAUGACAUCAUUCCGCUCUUUCGGAGAGUCACUAGUUCAUCAUCGACAUCGUGGGCAAUCAGCUGAUGUAGAUCUCUGAGCCCUUGUGCUCUGAAAUUGAACCUGAACCUGGAUCGUGUCGAUGAUAUGGACAGUCACGCUAUCAUUAUUCAUUGUUAAUCACGUAACAUUGCCCCUACAUUUUUUUUCUCUGUUCCUUUUUAGAAUCCCCAAACCAUUUAGAUUGUAGAGCAAAGAUAGAUGAUGGACAGCUACAGUAAUCACCAGGGCUGAUUACUGCUACCUUUCUCUUGUUUUCAACAGUUGAUGACUUCGAAUUAUUCCAGCAGAGUGUGGCGUAUAAGGAUAUGUAAUGUUUCUGCACUUGCAUCCAUAGAAAUUUGGGACUUGGUAAAUUCUUUUUUGAAUGAAGGGGAACUUUUUUUCACCAAGGACAAGACAAUAAUAAGAUAUAAGUAAAUUAUUUACUGAACUGAAGAUGGAACGGUCUAUUUUCAAAGCUCCAAGAAAGUAACCAUGACAGUUUCUGAGUUAAAGGUGUUAAUGAUCCAAUUUCAUUUGGUAUGGACUAGAAAAUAAUACCACACGCUCUUAAUUUAGAAAAAAAUGGUCUAUAAUCUGAGUAUUUGUAGCUACGACCCAAACAAAGAUGGUCUUUGCCUACAAAAGGGCAAGUUCAAGAUUUCACAUGUCUUUGUAGAUUUAAUACGUACAAAGAAACAGGCAGGUGAUCUUCAAUUUCGUCUCCAAUCCCGAUUUUGCUGAGAUGUUCAUCCACAAUCCGGAUCAGUACCGAUAUAAAAGAAAGACGAAUAAUGCACUGUUUAUUAAGAUUGCACCCUGGAUAGUAUUUUUUUUAAUGGUUAACAGGUAAAAUAACAUCAUAUUUAGAUUCCAUAUAUUUUUCUAAUCAAAUUCCAUAUAUAAUAUGUUAAAUUUGGAGUUACGGUUUAGAAAAUACGAGUAUUUUAAAAAACAUUUAAUAUGUACUGCGGGUUUAAUAUAAGAAACAUCAGGGUUUUUUUUUUUAUGAAAUAGUAUGACGGACUAAAAAUACAUAUUUUUUUUAUUAGUAGGUAUAGGUAUAGAUAGAUGAUCCAACUUACUGAACUGGACUUACCCAAAAGUAAAGAAAGUUUUCCAAGCACUUAUUUACUUUUGUUAAUACUCCCCAAGCUUGCCGAAGCAAAGCCCCUCCCACGCUUGCCGAUCCGAAAUUCAUAACAAGGGCAGAUGGUGGUAAUUUUACCUCGCACCUAACAGUUGGCUGAUCAGAAAUGAGCAGGUAGAGUUGCAUUAGGUUGUAAGGGACUGACGGAUGUAGAGGUGCAUUAGGCGCCCGUGAUUCUUCCUCAUGCGUUAUGCUGCUGAAAUUUUUAGCGAAAAUUCCCACGACUUUAAGGUGUUGGUUGCAAAAUGUUCUUAUUUGUACGAAAACAAAAACUUCAGAGUCUUGGAUGCCAAUAGAAAGCGACAGAACGACUGCCCAGCAGCGGCAAGAACAGAAAGGGACAGAUCGACUGGGCCAUCAGCGGCCGGGACACAAACCGAUGACCAAUUGAAAUACGGAGAAGCAUCGACGCAGGAAGGAUGUGUCAGGGCACAAAUUCCAACGUGACAGCGACAACAGCACACAACGAAAACGAUGGACGCAACAGAAGCACGUCGGAAGACCGACCAGAUCAGCCUGCCCCACAUGCAAUGGAAAAACGCUAAGCCAACCAAAGCGAAUGCCACACCCGUUCAAAAAAUUUGAAUGAAAUAACUGAAUACUACAAGGCGUUCCUACACCGCCAGGUACCCAAAAAAAAUGGCACGUGCCACGUCCAAAAUUCACCAUGGGUCUUUUUCAUCCAAGUGUAUCAAUCAUGGAGCGAAAACCUUGCCGGAUAUAGAGGCUUGGGUAUGAAACGGGAUUUUCAUCUUUGUGCAUGUCAACUCCGUGACAUGGUUUUCACUUUCAGUUUCAGCUGAAAUAUUUUUGCAAAAAAAUCAUUGAAAUUCACUUUUCAAAAAUAUUUCACCAAGCACCAAACUCACUGGAAUUCAGUGAAUAUCAGUGACUGGGUUUGCAUUUUCAGCCAAAGGGCCGAAUUCAUUCACUUAAAGUAUUCAACCAAAUAUUUGGAAUAUAUGACAAAAUAUUUGAAUUUUCAUAUUGCUGAAAUAUUUUGACCGAAAGGUAACCAUUUCAGUAUCUACAGAAAUUAUUGAAAUUCAAUGAAUUUCAUAGACAUCUCACUGAAAAUGAAAACUAUGCUUUGUGACCAUAAAAAUUAGGAUAUGUUCGCUGGAGGGACGGAGACAACUGCAUCGACCACCGAGUGGGUCAUGCCAGAGCUCAUAAGGAACCCAGGCGCAAUGGCCAAGGCGCAGAAGGAGGUGCGGUGUGCAUUUGACCACAAGAACCGACAAGACCAUGAGGCACACAUGGAGGAGCUUCGCUACACAAAGAUGGUAGUCAAGAAGGCCAUGAGGCUUCACCCGGUGGUUCCGCUCCUGCUCCCCCGUGUCUGCAGGCAGACCUGCGAUGUCCAUGGGUACAGGGUCAAGGAGGGCACCCUUGUCUUCGUCAACGCAUGGGCGAUGGCAAGGAGCCCCGAGUACUGGCAGGACGCAGAGGAGUUCAGGCCAAAGAGGUUCGAGGACAACACGGCGGACUACAAAGGCACACAGCUAGAGUACCUGCCAUUUCGAAGUGGAAGGAGGAUGUGUCCUGGGAACAUCUUUGCAUUAGCCUUGGUAGAACUCGUCGUGGCACGACUUCUAUACUACUUCGACUAGAGCCUCCCUGCCGGAAUGCGGCCGGAGCUGGACAUGGACACCGUUGUAGGCUUGACGGCAAAGAGAAGCAACCAUCUGCUCCUGGUGGCGUCACCGUAUAAUGUGCCGAUUCAUAAGGAGAUUGAUGACUGCAAAGCUCACUGAUGUUCAUUAGUAGUAUAGUAUAAUAAAUAAGUUGUAGGCAUCCCACAGCGGAUAGUAUCGUACUGCAUGAUAUUAUUUUAGUUACUAUCAUCCUGUUGUAUAGUGUAUAUCAUAAUACCAUCUUAUUUAUCCGCUUGUAAUGUAAAGUUAUGUACAAGAUCUAUUUACCAAUUCCUUAUUGGGUGAUCUAUGAUACUGUUAUCUUCUCUUUUUUUUUUGCGUCAAAAAGAGCAUCUCCAGCCGUUCGGACCCCCAGGGCGACGAAAAAGAGCCGCCUGGGGGCGAGCCGGCGCUAGAUUGGCCCUUAGGGGCGACCUAGCUCCCAAUUGUCGGCCCACAGGUCGCCCCGGGUUCGGCAACGUCCGUACAAAAUAUAUGAAAACUCGGCGUUUUUUGCACGAACUCGGUGAAACUUUAUUAAAAUUUAUACAAAAAACACAGAACACAUGCAAACUACGCCUUAACAAUGCCUAAACUACGCCUAGCCGCCACCGCCGUCGCCGUCGCCGCCGUCUACAUGCAGAGGGGCCUGUAGAAGCGGGUGUAGUCGCCGUCGUCGUCGUCGUCGCGCGGCUGGCUUGGGCCGGCGCGUUCCCUGCUGCAGCCCUGACCCGGGUCGCCGAGGCGCGGUGGUGCGCUAGAUGGCCCGGCCUCGCCCUCCUCGUCACUGUCGAGGACAAUGACGCCGCCUUCCUCGCGACCGCGGCGACGGGCCUGGAGCUCCUGGUACGCCCAGCGCUGGCAGUGUACCUGCUCCCGGACGUAGUCCUCCUUCGCCCACUUGAGGGCGGACUCGUCAUCAGGGCCGCCAUCUCGGCAUGCUCCGGCUUCACCAGGAGCAGCCCAGGCUCCGGCUUCGGCCGGACCAGGCGGUAGGAUCCGCGCGGGGGGGAUCGGGCGGCCUCGUUAAUGACGAGGCGACGGAGCGGGUACGCCGCCGGAGAGGCGUCUCCUCCGGCUCGGGUUUGACGGGGCGGAGCGCGGCCGGCGAGCUGGAGCCCGACGACGAGGACGUGUUGGGGAACGUAGUAAUUUCAAAAAUGCACACACAGGAUCAUGGUGAUGCAUAGCAACGAGAGGGGAAAGUGUGUCCAUGUACCCUCGUAGACCGAAAGCGGAAGCGUUAUGACAACGCGGUUGAUGUAGUCGUACGUCUUCACGAUCCGAUCGAUCCAAGUACCGAACACAGGGCACUUCCGAGUUCUGCACACGCUCAGCUCGAUGACGUCCCACGAACUCCGAUCCAGCAGAGCUUUGCGGGAGAGUUCCGUCAGCACGAUGGCGUGAUGACGGUGAUGAUGUUGCUACCGACGCAGGGUUUCAGCUAAGCACCGCUACGAUAUGACCGAGGUGGAAUAUGGUGGAGGGGGGCACCGCACACGGCUAAGAGAUCAAGAGAUCAAUUGUUGUGUCUAGAGGUGCCCCACUGCCCCCGUACAUAAAGGAGUGGAGGAGGGGGAGGGCCGGCCCUCCUAUGGCGCGCCCUGGAGGAGUCCUACUCCCACCGGGAGUAGGAUUCCCCCCCUUCCAAGUAGUAGGAGUAGGAGUCAAGGAAAGGGAAAAGAGAAGAGAAGGAAGGAGGGGGCGCAGCCCCUCCCCAUAGUCCAAUUCGGACUAGGCCUUGGGGGGUGCGCAGCCUCCCCUCUCUCUUUCCCCUAAAGCCCAAUAAGGCCCAUAUACUCCCCGGCGGAUUCCCGUAACUCUCCGGUACUCCGAAAAAUACCCGAAUCACUCGGAACCUUUCCGAUGUCCGAAUAUAGUCGUCCAAUAUAUCGAUCUUUACGUCUCGAUCAUUUCGAGACUCCUCGUCAUGUCCCCGAUCUCAUCCGGGACUCCGAACUAACUUCGAUACAUCAAAACACAUAACCCAUAAUAUAAAUCGUCACCGAACGUUAAGCGUGCGGACCCUAAGGGUUCGAGAACUAUGUAGACAUGACCGAGACACAUCUCCGGUCAAUAACCAAUAGCGGAACCUGGAUGCUCAUAUAGGCUCCCACAUAUUCUACGAAGAUCUUUCUCGGUCAAACCGCAGAACAACAUACGUUGUUCCAUUUGUCACCGGUAUGUUACUUGCCCGAGAUUCGAUCGUCGAUAUCUCAAUACCUAGUUCAAUCUCGUUACCGACAAGUCUCUUUACUCUUUCCGUAACACAUCAUCCCGCAACUAACUCAUUAGUUACAAUGCUUGCAAGGCUUAUAGUGGUGUGCAUUACCGAGUGGGCCCAGAGAUACCUCUCCGACAAUCGGAGUGACAAAUCCUAAUCUCGAAAUACGCCAACCCAACAAGUACCUUCGGAGACACCGGUAGAGCACCUUUAUAAUCACCCAGUUAUGUUGUGACAUUUGGUAGCACACAAAGUGUUCCUCCGGUAAACGGGAGUUGCAUAAUCUCAUAGUCAUAGGAACAUGUAUAAGUCAUGAAGAAAGCAAUAGCAGAAUACUAAACGAUCAAGUGCUAAGCUAACGGAAUGGGUCAAAUCAAUCACACCAUUCUCCUAAUGAUGUGGUCCCGUUAAUCAAAUGACAAAUCAUGUCUAUGGCUAGGAAACAUAACCAUCUUUGAUCAACGAGCUAGUCAAGUAGAGGCAUACUAGUGACACUCUGUUUGUCUAUGUAUUCACACAUGUAUUAUGUUUCCGGUUAAUACAAUUCUAGCAUGAAUAAUAAACAUUUAUCAUGAUAUAAGGAAAUAAUUAAUAACUUUAUUAUUGCCUCUAGGCCAUAUUUCCUUCAGUCUCCCACUUGCACUAGAGUCAAUAAUCUAUUUCACAUCAUCAUGUGAUUUAACACCAAUAUUCACAUCUGUAUGUCAUUAACACCCAUAGUUCACAUCGUCAUGUGACCAACACCCAAAGGGUUUACUAGAGUCAAUAAUCUAGUUCACAUCGCUAUGUGAUUAACACCCAAAGAGUACUAAGGUAUGAUCAUGUUUUUGCUCGUGAGAGAAGUUUAGUCAACGGGUCUGUCACAUUCAGAGCCGUAUGUAUUUUGCAAAUAUUCUAUGUCUACAAUGCUCUGCACGGAGCUACUCUAGCUAAUUGCUCCCACUUUUAAUAUGUAUCCAGAUUGAGACUUAGAGUCGUCUGGAUUUAGUGUAAAAGCUUGUAUCAAUGUAACUCUUUACGACGAACUCUUUUAUCACCUCCAUAAUCGAGAAACAUCUCCUUAGUCCUCACUAAGGAUAUUCUUGACAGUUGUCCAGUGAUCUACUCUUAGUUCAAAAUUGUACUCCCUUGCCAAACUCAGAGCAAGGUAUACAAUAGGUCUGGUACACAGCAUAGCAUACUUUUACAGAACCUAUGACUGAGGCAUAGGGAAUGACUUUUCAUUCUCUUUCUAUUUUCUGCUAUGGUCGGGUUUUGAGUCUUACUCAACUUCACACCUUGCAACACAGGAAAGAACUCCUUCUUUGACUGUUCCAUUUUGAAUUACUUCAAAAUCUUAUCAAGGUAUGUACUCAUUGAAAAAUCUUAUCAAGCGUCUUGAUCUAUCUCUAUAGUUUUUGAUGCUCAAUGUGUAAGCAGCUUCACCGAGGUCUUUCUUUGAAAAACUCCUUUCAAAUACUGCUUUAUGCUUUCCAGAAAAUUCUACAUUAUUUCUGAUGAACGAUAUGUCAUUCACAUAUUCUUAUCAGAAAGGCUGUAGUGCUCCCACUCACUUUCCUGUAAAUACAGGCUUCACCGCAAGUCUGUAUAAAACUAUAUGCUUUGAUCAACUCAUCAAAGCGUAUAUUUCAACUCCGAGAUGCUUGCACCAGUCCAUAGAUGGAUCGCUGGAGCUUGCACAUUUUGUUAGCACCUUUAGGAUCGACAAAAUCUUCUGGUUGCAUCAUAUACAACUCUUCUUUAAGAAAUCCAUUAAGGAAUGUAGUUUUGACAUCCAUUUGCCAGAUUUCAUAAAAUGUGGCAAUUUCCUAACAUGAUUCGGACAGACUUAAGCAUCGCUGCGAGUGAGAAAAUCUCAUCGUAGUCAACACCUUGAACUUUGUCAAAAACCUUUUUCGACAAGUCGAGCUCCGUAGAUAGUAACACUACUAUCAGCGUCUGUCUUCCUCUUGAAGAUCCAUUUAUUUUCUAUGGCUUGCCGAUCAUCGGGCAAGUCAACCAAAGUCCACACUUUGUUCUCAUACAUGGAUCCAAUCUCAGAUUUCAUGGCCUCAAGCCAUUUCGCGGAAUCUGGGCUCAUCAUCGCUUCCUCAUAGUUCGUAGGUUCAUCAUGGUCUAGUAACAUGACUUCUAGAAUAGGAUUACCAUACCACACUGGUGCGGACCGUAUUCUCGAAGACCUAUGAGUUUCUGUAAUAACUUGAUCUUAAGCUUCAUGAUCAUCAUCAUUAGCUUCCUCACUAAUUGGUGUAGGUGUCACUGAAACCGGUUUCUGUGAUAAACUACUUUCCAAUAAGGGAGCAGGUACAGUUACCUCAUCAAGUUCUACUUUCCUCCCACUCACUUCUUUCGAGAGAAACUCCUUCUCUAGAAAGGAUCCAUCUUAGCAAUGAAUAUUUUGCCUUCGGAUCUGUGAUAGAAGGUGUACCCAACAGUUUCCUUUGGGUAUUCUAUGAAGACGCACUUCUCCGAUUUGGGUUCGAGCUUAUCAGGUUGAAACUUUUUCACAUAAGCAUCGCAGCCCCAAACUUUAAGAAACGACAACUUUGGUUUCUUGCCAAACCACAGUUCAUAAGGCGUCGUCUCAACGGAUUUUGAUGGUGCCCUAUUUAAAGUGAAUGUAGCUGUCUCUAAUGUAUAACCCCAAAACGAUAGUGAUAAAUCGGUAAGAUACAUCAUAGAUCGCACCAUAUCCAAUAAAGUGCGGUUACGGCAUUUCGGACACACCAUUACGCUGUGGUGUUCCAUGUGGCGUGAGCUGUGAAACUAUUUCACAUUGUUUUUAAAUGAAGGCCAAACUCAUAACUCAAAUAUUCUCCUCUACGAUCAAAUUGUAGAAACUUUAUUUUCUUGUUACGAUGAUUCUCCACUUCACUCUGAAAUUCUUUGAACUUUUCAAAUGUUUCAGACUUCUGCUUCAUUAAGUAGAUAUACUCAUAUCUGCUCAAAUCAUCCGUGAAGGUCAGAAAAUAACGAUACCCGCCACGAGCAUCAACACUCAUUGGACCGCAUACAUCGGUAUGUAUUAUUUCCAACAAGUCUGUAGCUCGUUCCAUUGUUCCGGAGAACGGAGUUUUAGUCAUCUUGCCCAAAAGGCACGGUUCGCAAGCAUCAAAUGAUUCAUAACCAAGUGAUUCCAAAAGUCCAUCUUAAUGGAGUUUCUUCAUGCGCUUUACACCGAUAUGACCCAAAUGGCAGUGCCACAAAUAAGUUGCACUAUCAUUACCAACUUUGCAUCUUUUGGCAUCAAUAUUAUGAAUAUGUGUAUCACUACGAUCGAGAUCCAACAAACCAUUUUCAUUGGGUGUAUGACCGUAGAAGGUUUUAUUCAUGUAAACAGAACAACAAUUAUUCUCUAACUUAAAUGAAUAACCGUAUUGCAAUAAACAUGAUCAAAUCAUAUUCAUGCUCAAUGCAAACACCAAAUAACAUUUAUUUAGGUUCAACACUAAUCCCGAAAGUAUAGGGAGUGUGUGAUGAUGAUCAUAUCAAUCUUGGAACUACUUCCAACACACAUCAUCACCUCGCCCUUAACUAGUUUCUGUUCAUUCUGCAACUCCCGUUUCGAGUUACUACUCUUAGCAACUGAACCAGUAUCAAAUACCGAGGGGUUGCUAUAAACACUAGUAAAAUACACAUCAAUAACAUGUAUAUCAAAUAUACUUUUGUUCACUUUGCCAUCCUUCUUAUCCGCCAAAUACUUGGGGCAGUUCCGCUUCCAGUGACCAGUCCCUUUGCAGUAGAAGCACUCAGUUUCAGGCUUAGGUCCAGACUUGGGCUUCUUCACUUGAGCAGCAACUUGCUUGCCGUUCUCCUUGAAGUUCCCCUUCUUCCCUUUGCCCUUUUCUUGAAACUAGUGGUCUUUGUCAACCAUCAACACUUGAUGAUCUUUCUUGAUUUCUACCUUCGCCGAUUUCAUUAUCACGAAGAGCUUGGGAAUUGUUUCCGUUAUCCCUUGCAUAUUAUAGUUCAUCACGAAGUUUUAGUAACUUGGUGAUGGUGACUAGAGAACUCUGUCAAUCACUAUCUUAUCUGGAAGAUUAACUCCCACUUGAUUCAAGUGAUUGUAGUACCCACACAUUCUGAGCACAUGCUCACUAGUUGAGCAAUUCUCCUCCAUCUUUUAGGCAAAGUACUUGUCAGAGGUCUCAUACCUCUUGACACGGGCAUGAGUCUGAAAUACUAAUUUCAUCUCUGGGAACAUCUCAUAUGCUCCGUGACAUUUCAAAACAUUUUUGAAGUCCCUGUUCUAAGCCGUAAAGCAUGGUGCACUAAACUAUCAAGUAGUCAUCAUACCGAGCUUUGCCAAACAUUCAUAACGUUUGCAUAUGCUCCUGCAAUAGGUCUGUCACCUAGCGAUGCAUUAAGGACAUAAUUCUUCUGUGCAGCAAUGAGGAUAAUCCUCAGAUCACGGAUCCAAUCCGCAUCAUUGCUACUAACAUCUUUCAACAUAGUUUUUCUCUAGGAACAUAUCAAAAUAAACAUAGGGAAGCAACAACGCGAGCUAUUGAUCUACAACAUUAUUUGCAAAAUACUAUCAUGACUAAGUUCAUGAUAAAUUAAAGUUCAAUUAAUCAUAUUACUUAAGAACUCCCACUUAGAUAGACAUCCCUCUAAUCAUCUAAGUGAUCACGUGAUCCAUAUCAACUAAACCAUGUCCGAUCAUCACGUGAGAUGGAGUAGUUUUCAAUGGUGAACAUCAAUAUGUUUAUCAUAUCUACUAUAUGAUUCACGCACGACCUUUCGGUCUCAGUGUUCCGAGGCCAUAUCUGCAUAUGCUAGGCUCGUCAAGUUUAACCUGAGUAUUCCGCGUGUGCAACUGUUUUGCACCCGUUGUAUUUGAACGUAGAGCCUAUCACACCCGAUCAUCACGUGGUGUCUCGGCACGAAGAACUUUCGCAACGGUGCAUACUCGGGGAGAACACUUAUACCUUGAAAUUUAGUGAGAGAUCAUCUUAUAAUGCUGCCGUCGAUCUAAGCAAAAUAAGAUGCAUAAAAGAUAAACAUCACAUGCAAUCAAUAUAAGUGAUAUGAUAUGGCCAUCAUCAUCUUGUGCUUGUGAUCUCCAUCUCCGAAGCACCAUCAUGAUCACCAUCGUCACCGGCGCGACACCUUGAUCUCCACCGUAGCAUCGUUGUCGUCUCGCCAACUAUUGCUUCUACGACUAUCGCUACCGCUUAGUGAUAAAGUAAAGCAAUUUACAGGGCUAUUGCAUUGCAUACAAUAAAGCGACAACCAUAUGGCUCCAGCCAGUUGCCGAUAACUCGGUUACAAAACAUGAUCAUCUCAUACAAUAAAAUAUAGCAUCAUGUCUUGACAAUAUCACAUCACAACAUGCCCUGCAAAAACAAGUUAGACGUCCUCUACUUUGUUGUUGCAAGUUUUACGUGGCUGCUACGGGCUGAGCAAGAACGGUUCUUACCUACGCAUCAAAACCACAAUGAUAGUUCGUCAAGUAAGUGAUGUUUUAACCUUCUCAAGGACCGGGCGUAGCCACACUCGGUUCAACUAAAGUUGGAGAAACUGACACCCGCCAACCACCUGUGUGCAAAGCACGUCGGUAGAACCAGUCUCGCGUAAGCGUACGCGUAAUGUCGGUCCAGGCCGCUUCAUCCAACAAUACCGCCGAACCAAAGUGUGACAUGCUGGUAAGCAGUAUGACUUGUAUCGCCCACAACUCACUUGUGUUCUACUCGUGCAUAUAACAUCUACGCAUAAAACCAGGCUCGGAUGCCACUGUUGGGGAACGUAGUAAUUUCAAAAAAAUUCCUGCGCACACACAGGAUCAUGGUGAUGCAUAGCAACGAGAGGGGAGAGUGUGUCCACAUACCCUCGUAGACCGAAAGCGGAAGCGUUAUGACAACGCAGUUGAUGUAGUCGUACGUCUUCACGAUCCGACCGAUCCAAGUACCGAACACAGGGCACUUCCGAGUUCUGCACACGCUCAGCUCGAUGACGUCCCACGAACUCCGAUCCAGCAGAGCUUUGCGGGAGAGUUCCGUCAGCACGACGGCGUGAUGAUGGUGAUGAUGUGGCUAUCGACGCAGGGCUUCGGCUAAGCACCGCUACGAUAUGACCGAGGUGGAAUAUGGUGGAGGGGGGCACCGCACACGGCUAAGAGAUCAAGAGAUCAAUUGUUGUGUCUAGAGGUGCCCCCCUGCCCCCGUAUAUAAAGGAGUGGAGGAGGGGGGAGGGCCGGCCCUCCUAUGGCGUGCCCUGGAGGAGUCCUACUCCCACCGGGAGUAGGAUUCCCCCCCUUCCAAGUAGUAGGAGUAAGAGUCAAGGAAAGGGAAAAGAGAAGAUAAGGAAGGAGGGGGCGCAGCCCCUCCCCCUAGUCCAAUUCAGACUAGGCCUUGGGGGGGGCGCGCAGCCUCCCCUCUCUCUUUCCCCUAAAGCCCAAUAAGGCCAAUAUACUCCCCGGCGAAUUCCCGUAACUCUCCGGUACUCCGAAAAAUACCCGAAUCACUCGGAACCUUUCCGAUGUCCGAAUAUAGUCGUCCAAUAUAUCGAUCUUUACGUCUCGAUCAUUUCGAGACUCCUCGUCAUGUCCCCGAUCUUAUCCGGGACUCCGAACUACCUUCGGUACAUCAAAACACAUAACUCAUAAUAUAAAUCGUCACCGAACGUUAAGCGUGCGGACCCUACGGGUUCGAGAACUAUGUAGACAUGACCGAGACACAUCUCCGGUCAAUAACCAAUAGCGGAACCUGGAUGCUCAUAUUGGCUCCCACAUAUUCUACGAAGAUCUUUAUCGGUCAAACCGCAUAACAACAUACGUUGUUCCCUUUGUCAUCGGUAUGUUACUUGCCCGAGAUUCGAUCGGCGGUAUCUCAAUACUUAGUUCAAUCUCGUUACCGGCAAGUCUCUUUACUCGUUCCGUAACACAUCAUCCCGCAACUAACUCAUUAGUUACAAUGCUUGCAAGGCUUAUAGUGAUGUGCAUUACCGAGUGGGCCCAGAGAUACCUCUCCGACAAUCGGAGUGAUAAAUCCUAAUCUCGAAAUACGCCAACCCAACAAGUACCUUCGGAGACACCUGUAGAGCACCUUUAUAAUCACCCAGUUAUGUUGUGACGUUUGGUAGCACACAAAGUGUUCCUCCGAUAAACGGGAGUUGCAUAAUCUCAUAGUUAUAGGAACAUGUAUAAGUCAUGAAGAAAGCAAUAGCAAAAUGCUAAACGAUCAAGUGCUAAGCUAACGGAAUGGGUCAAGUCAACCACAUCAUUCUCCUAAUGAUGUGAUCCCGUUAAUCAAAUGACAACUCAUGUCUAUGGCUAGGAAACAUAACCAUCUUUGAUACGAGCUAGUCAAGUAGAGGCAUACUAGUGACACUCUGUUUGUCUAUGUAUUCACACAUGUAUUAUGUUUCCGGUUAAUACAAUUCUAGCAUGAAUAAUAAACAUUUAUCAUGAUAUAAGGAAAUAAAUAAUAACUUUAUUAUUGCCUCGAGGGCAUAUUUCCUUCAGGACGACCCUGGCUGCAUCCGCCGCGGCGUCCAGGAGCUACCACGGUGACGAGAGAAGGACGGCCGCUGCGGGUACUCGAGGCGCGGCACGUUGCCGGUCUCGAUGUGGUCGAGGACGGCCUCGAGGGUGCGGCCCAGAACGCCCCACCACUUGCGCCGCCCGUUGGCGUUGUGGCGGCCCUGCGGGAUGACGCCGUUGGUGGAGGCGAUCUGCUCCUCGCGGCGGCGCUCGAAGUACAUCGUCCACAGGGUGUGACUGUCGGCGGCGUAGCGCGGCUCAUUCCGCCUUUCCUCCGUCAGGGAGGAGCGAAUGCGGGCGAUGUCGCCGCGCCGCGCCGCCCCUUCGGGCACCGGUGGCUGUCGUGGUUCUAAGGCUGAUAGUAGAAUGGGGGUAAGUAUGAGGAAGCAAGAUCCUAGCUAUGGCGAAGUUGUACACACGAGUUUUACGAGUUCAGGCCCUUCGCGGAGGAAGUAAUAGCCCUACGUCUCGGUGCCCGGAGGCGGUCGACUGGAUUAUGAGUGUGUGUUACAGGGGGUCCGAACCCUUGUCCCAGAGGAGGGGGGUGGCUUAUAUAGAGUGCGCCAGGACCCCAGCUCCCCUCCGUUACAGGGAUUCAAUGUACAUAAAGAUGGGGCGUUACUGGUAACGCCAGCCAUAAGUGCUAUAAAUGACAUUAAAGGCUGCAGAGUGAACGCCCGACCGUUGCUGUGCAGAGUGACUUUAGAUCUUCUGUCUGUCGAGUGGUUUCUGUUACGGUCGAGUGACAUUGAAUCUUCCGAGUGGAAUGCUUCUGGUCGAGUGGAUGAUGCUAUCCUUUGAAUGUCUCUGACUUUAGGGUGAUGUCCUAGGGGAGAGUGUCUGGGUCAGGCCUAUGACCCUACCCUAGGUACAUAGCUUCAUCAUUAGCCCCCGAAUGGUUCAGGGUUCGAGUGGAAAAAGGAGUUGAAGUUGGUUCCGACUCAGUUUUAUGCUGCAGAAGCGUUCUCUUUGGACUGAUGAAAAAUGUGACAACUUUGACUUCACUUUUAGUCGCCUCGAUCCAUUCUUAGUUUUGUCGAGUGAACUUUUAUUGCAGGUCUUCGAGUGUUGAUAUGGAAAAAAUCUCCAGUCUGACAGGUUGCUCUGCUGCUCGCGGAUAAUGCGGGAUUCGGAGGAAGCGCGCAGGGCGGAGGAGGCCGCAGCAAUCGGGGUGGAUUAGGCAGGGCCGCUUCGAUUUUCGCACCACCUUUUUGGCCACGUAUCGCGUGCGCGACUGAUGCGGGAUUUGAUAGGAUCGCCUGGGCCCAUGGGUCAGUCACUCGGGGACGACCUCAUAUAAGGCGCUGGACCGGGGUUUCUUGCACAGCGCAUUCCCAUUCUCCCUCUUUCUCUUCCGAUCUCGCCACCACGACCACCUCUGCUCUCGACGCCACCGCCCUGCUCGAGCUCCGCCCGCUGCAAUGGGGAAGGAGAAGACGGCGGCCUUGGAGCACGCAAAGAAGGUGAAGGGGAAGAAGACCAGCCGGGGCAGAUCUUCGUCCAGGUCCAGCCUACCGCGCGGCUGGAUCCAGGGUGACUGGAUUCAGUCGACGAUCCGACAGGAUGACAUCGACGAUCCGGCUGAGGGGGACUGAUCCCCCAUGAAUCAACGCGGCUCCCGGGGGUCGAGACCGAGCCGCGGCCGCAGGAGGGUGAGCGCGUUCUCCUCGCAACUCGCGUAGACCGCGGGUUUUCUUUGCCUCCCCACCCUUUUUUCUGAGGUUUCUUGAACUUCUUUGGAGCACAACUUCAUCACUUUUCCCCCAACACCAUCGUGUACCUUGCUGCCUUCGUGUCCAUGUGCGAGAAUUUUCUGGGUUGUCGGCCACACUGGGGUCUCUUCAAGCACAUUUUCACGUGUCGUUCUCAAUCGGUCAAGAAGGCCAAUCCGAGUGACGAGAGGACGCAUGUGAUCCAGAUGUGUGGGGGCCUUGGGAUUCAGACAAGAGGUAAAAGCACUUUUCAAGCCAUCAUCCUUCCCGAGUCAGUCAGAGGAUGGCAGUCGACCUGGUUCUACUGCAAAGACCAGCCGACUCCAGGUCAGUCGACUGGAAUUCCUCCCUUUUCCAUGGCUCGAGUCGAGAAGCCCUCUGCUCUAAAAGUGACCCUGGAGGAGAGAGCGGAGGUGAAGGUGCUGGUCGAGCGAGUAGUCCAGCUCGUCCGCGACGGCGUGACUGGCAUGGAUCUGUUGGAGGUCUUCCUCAGGCGACGCAUCCAGCCGCUUCAAGCUCGUGACCACCCGAUGUGGAUGUAUUCGGGUAUUGAUGACACCACUCGGAUCCACCCAGAGGAAGUCGACGAGGAAACGGUGGAGCAGUGGCUAAGGGGUAUCACUGGUAACAAGGACAACCCCAGGGGGUCCAGGAGGAUCCCUCCACUCAACAACUCGUAUGAACCAGACCAGGUCCGACUCUAAAUUGCCGAGUGUUUCCUUGAUUUAUCACUUAACUGCUUGCCGUCAACCAACUGAUUUUUGCUUCACUUGCUGUCUUUCAGGCCCUUACUGAGAUGUACUCGAUGCCCAACGGGGAGCAGGAACAAGAUCCAGAGGGGGAGGCAAGCGGAGGCGAGAGCGGCGAGUGGCACUCUGAUGGAGAAGAGGACGAGGAGAGCGACGACCUGAGUGAUGAAGAAGAGGUCGACUCGCCUCCUCAUAGGGAAAGACGUUCCAAGCACACUCACGAUCCGGCAAGUAUCCGUGGCAAGGCGACUGCACAUUCCGGGCAAUCGGCAAAGCGUCCUCGGACUUCUUCUCCAGCGCCGAAUGAGAAGGCGCCGAAGCAACCGAAAGCUGCGCCGUCAAAACCGCAAAAGGCCUUGCCCAAGAUCAGAGUGACCAUUCCCAUUGCUUCCGGGUAAUAGUUGGACUUGUUUUCUUGGUUUGAUUUGAAUCCGAAUUUUGGUCGACUCACUGCGACUGAUACGACCGACUGAAUCUUGAAAUUUGCAGUGCUGCUACCUCCGAGACUUCUGCUCACAAGAAUGAAGAAGAGGAAAUGGAAGAUGAAGUCACCUCCAACCCAGGUACGAAUCUCGUAAUCUUUUCUUCGUUUACUUGACUAUUUGGUUGGUCGAUUGAAUUUUUGACGAUUGACCUCUUUUGCAGCUCCUUCCAAUGUCAUUGAUCUUUCGGACGACGACGAGGAUGUGCCGCUGAGGCCUCGGGGAAGGAGAAACAGGAACGCGUCAGCUGGUAAUACGCCUCAGUCGACGCCGGGAAUGGAAACGGCAACCCCGGAGGGCGGCGAUGCCAAUCGGACUUCUGUGACUUUCGCCGUGCCAUUGACGAGUGUUCGGCCCUCAGCGUCGACUGCGCAGACUCCAGCUGACCCUUCUUCUCUCUUUACUGCACAUUGUGUCCCAGAGGAUCAAGUGGGCGCUGCCGAGGAGGCCAUACGCCAGGAGGGCAUCAUGAUGGAGCAGAUGAAGGUGGUCCGGGACGCCAGCCAAGCUGCUUACGACGCCAGCUCGGCUCUCCAGAGCAACGUCUAGGUUAGCUGAUCACCGACUGACUCUGUAGCUUGUCGCUUGUUCUGUUAGGAUAUGGUACCUGAAAACUUUUUCUUGAAGAACCUUUUCAUCCGUCUGUAUUUCGCAUUUGCACACCCACUGGGUGUUUUGACCUGCCACUGAGCAAAUUUGUAUCUUUGAGUCGACUAGGUUGUGUCGAUUGAGUCUUUGAACGAGUGGGGGCACGCUGAGUGCACCCAGUGGGUGUAGUCCCCGAGACCAUAGUUGACUGUGGGCAGUCAACUGUGGUCUGAGAAUUAGAAUUUCCUCACUCGGCUUGGACGGGCCAUGUCGAGUGGAACCUGAACCAGUGGGGGCACGCUAAGUGCACCCACUAGGUGUAGUCCCCGAGACCGUGGUCGACUGCGGGCAGUCGGCUAUGGUCUGAGAACAACUUUCUUCUUUCUUUCUUUCUUGGAUGUCCGUAGAUGAACGUUUUGGAACUUUAUGUGCAUCUAUCAUGAGUUUGCACCUUGCAUCUGUUCACCCAUCGGGUUGUAGCUCUUGCACUUCUCACUCGACCUGGACGGACUAAGUCGAGUGGAACCUAACCAGUGGGGGCACGCUGAGUGCACCCACUGGGUGUAGUCCCCGAGACCAUGGUCGGAUGCGGGCAGUCGACUAUGGUCUGAGAACAACUCUUUUUUUUACACACUCGGCCUGGACAGGCCAUGUCGAGUGGAAACUGGACCAGUGGGGGCACGCUGAGUGCACCCACUGGGUGUAGUCCCCGAGACUGCCAUUGAAUGUUUGAUUCGAUGGUAGUCUUAGAGUAACUUUCACUGUGAUGUUCUUUUCAUCUGUCGACUGACUAUCCCUUGAUCACAGAAAUCUUGCAAACUUGGAGCUCGUUUUGCUGAUCUGGAGCAGAAGCAGAUUCAGCUCAACCUCGAUCUGGAGCUGGCCAAGACCAAUUUGCAGAAGGCCAAGGAUGAAGCCGUUGGUACGAGAAGCAUGUCGACUGAUCUGUUCCUGAACAGAGUGUUAUUUGUUUUUUAUCUGAACCGAGCACUAUUUCUUUCAGAAACGAUGAACCAGUCUCUGGCACAGAAGGAUCUGGAGCUUGCAGCCGCGCAGAAAACAGCCGAAGAGAAAACUGCACUCGCCGACCAGAAGCUGGCCUCAGUCGGCAAACUGGAGGAAGAGAACGCCAAGCUGAAGACUGCCCUGGAUGAAGCCAACAAGGAGGCGACUCGUCUGAAGAGGGACAAGAGGGCUCUGACCGACAAGAUUGAAGAUAUUGCCCGCAGGAGGGAUGACUUGGAAAACUAUCUGGGAGGGCUUGCCAAGAAGUUGUUCAUCAUGCUUGAAGGUGCCUUACUUUGCCCGACUGACUUGUUGCUGUCGACUCAACAUAUAAUCAUCGACUCAUUGUUGCAUUGUGUAUGCAGAGUUUUGCCAAAACUUCGAGGAAGAAACUGGGCGAGUUGAAACAAACUUGGACCCCGUUCACUCUCCUGUGAAGGACAAAGCUGCCAUGAACGUACUCCGACUGGAAUGUCGUGUAGCUGGCGUUGUUGACUAUCUCGCUCGUCUGAAAGUCACGGUGCCGCGUAUCGACACAGCGCUCUGGCCAGGGUGACACUUUAGAAUGACCUCAAGUCUCUCAUGACUUGACUCAAUGAGAUCCCAGGUCGAGUGCAGGAAUGGAAGAAGUCUUCUGCCCGAUGUGGUGCUGACGUGGCUCUGUCACUUGUUUGUGUCCACUGCAAGGAAGCUCGAGAAGAGAGGCUGGCGGUGAUCAAGGUUGCCAAUACCAAAAAGCACGACUUCCAAUCCUUCAUGGAAACUUUCAUUGCUGCUGCCACUCGGAUUGCUGAUGGAAUUGACCUAGACGAGUUCGUCGAGCCUGCUAGCCCUCCCCCUGCGGAGUGAACAAACUUUACGUCCCACCUUAAAUUUGCCUCGGAAUGCCGAGUGAUUGUGUAAUCGUUAAACUCCUUCGGGCUUGAUGCUCGAGUACUUUAAUCCGUGGACCGGAACCUUAGGAUUUAUCCGAACUUGGUUUAUCUCUGAAUAUGCUCGUGUUUGUCUUCAAGUGGUACUUAUUUCUUCACUCGGAAUAAUCUUUGAGUGGUGCAGCUUCAAGGUGAAAAGUGACAGUCAACCUGCACUUCGUCAUCUUUGAGAAGGUAGCAAUCGACCUGCACCUCGUCGUCCUUACGGAUCGGGAUGGAGCGCACAUUAUAUUUGUGGCGCAGCUUCGAGGAGAAGAUAGCAAUCGACUUGCACCUCGUCGUCCUUAUGGAUUGGGACGGAGCGCACAUUAUACUUGUGGCGCAGCUUCGAGGAGAAGAUAGCAAUCGACCUGCACCUCGUCGUCCUUACGGAUCGGGACGGAGCGUGUGGCCAAGUCUCCGAGCAAGAAGGCCGAUUCUCACUCGGGACGUGUUUUAUACUUAGGCGAGUACUGGACUGCAGCUAAGCCCCCGAGUGAGAGGCUGGCUCACCACUCGGUAGCAUUUUUUCAAACUUAGGCAAAACAGAUUCGUGGCUAAGCCUCCUAGUGAGAGGGUUGCUCGCCACUCGGUAGGAUUUUUGAAACUUAGGCGACUACUGGACUGCAGCUAAGCCCCCGAGUGAGAGGGUUGCUCACCACUCGGUAGGAUUUUUGAAACUUAGGCGAGUACUGGACUGCAGCUAAGCCCCCGAGUGAGAGGGUUGCUCACCACUCGGUAGGAUUUUUGAAACAUAGGCGNNNNNNNNNNNNNNNNNNNNNNNNNNNNNNNNNNNNNNNNNNNNNNNNNNNNNNNNNNNNNNNNNNNNNNNNNNNNNNNNNNNNNNNNNNNNNNNNNNNNNNNNNNNNNNNNNNNNNNNNNNNNNNNNNNNNNNNNNNNNNNNNNNNNNNNNNNNNNNNNNNNNNNNNNNNNNNNNNNNNNNNNNNNNNNNNNNNNNNNNNNNNNNNNNNNNNNNNNNNNNNNNNNNNNNNNNNNNNNNNNNNNNNNNNNNNNNNNNNNNNNNNNNNNNNNNNNNNNNNNNNNNNNNNNNNNNNNNNNNNNNNNNNNNNNNNNNNNNNNNNNNNNNNNNNNNNNNNNNNNNNNNNNNNNNNNNNNNNNNNNNNNNNNNNNNNNNNNNNNNNNNNNNNNNNNNNNNNNNNNNNNNNNNNNNNNNNNNNNNNNNNNNNNNNNNNNNNNNNNNNNNNNNNNNNNNNNNNNNNNNNNNNNNNNNNNNNNNNNNNNNNNNNNNNNNNNNNNNNNNNNNNNNNNNNNNNNNNNNNNNNNNNNNNNNNNNNNNNNNNNNNNNNNNNNNNNNNNNNNNNNNNNNNNNNNNNNNNNNNNNNNNNNNNNNNNNNNNNNNNNNNNNNNNNNNNNNNNNNNNNNNNNAGUGAGAGGGUUGCUCACCACUCGGUAGGAUUUUUCGAACUUAGGCGAGUACUGGACUGCAGCUAAGCCCCCGAGUGAGAGGGUUGCUCACCACUCGGUAGGAUUUUUUCAAACUUAGGCUAAACGGAUUCGCGGCUAAGCCCCCGAGUGAGAGGCUGGCUCACCACUCGAUAGGAUUAUUUAGGCGAAACGGAUUUGCGGCUAAGCCCCCGAGUGAGAGGCUGGCUCACCACUCGGUAUUUUUUUUUAAACUUAGGCGAAACAGGUUCGCAGCUAAGUCACCCACUGGGGGAUUUUAGACACAAUAAUAUCCAACAACAAUCAUUUCUAUAUAACUGUAAACUCUGUCUUUGAUAAACAAACUACACAAGUUUUUCUUAUUCCAUCUCAACAGACUGAGUGAUUAAGUAUAAAAGGGGCGGAGCAGCUCCGCAUUCCAAGCGCGUGGCUCGUCUUUCUUGUGCUCGACAUUGUAAAGAUGGUAUGCUCCAUUGUGGAGCACUUUUGUGAUGAUGAAGGGGCCUUCCCAAGCAGGAGCGAGCUUGUGUGGUUUCUGCUGAUCCACUCGAAGAACCAAAUCCCCCUCGUGAAAGGCUCGACCUCUCACGUUUCUGGCGUGGAAUCGACGCAGGUCUUGCUGAUAAAUGGUCGACCGGAUUAGGGCCAUCUCUCUUUCUUCUUCCAGGAGAUCCACUGCAUCUUGCCAUGCCUGCUCUGCUUCAGCUUCUGAGAAAAGUUCGACUCGGGGUGCAUUGUGAAGCAAGUCACUCGGAAGUACAGCUUCAGCUCCAUAUACCAAGAAGAAUGGAGUUCGGCCAGUCAACCGAUUGGGAGUCGUCCUCAAACCCCAAAGUACUGACGGAAGUUCGUCGACCCGGGCGCCUGCUGCAUGCUUGAGAUCACGCAUAGUCGGGGUUUCAGUCCUUUGAGAAUCAAUCUGUUUGCUCUUUCGGCUUGUCCAUUCGACUGGGGAUGGGCGACUGAAGCAUAGCGACUCGAGUGCCUUGGGAAGCACAGAAAGCUCUGAACUCAUCAGAAUCGAAGUUUGAUCCAUUGUCAUUGAUGAUGCUGUGCAGCACACCAUAUCUGAAUGUCAACUCUCUGAUAAAGCUAACAGAAGUACUGGCUUCAAGAUUCUUGAUAGGUUUGGCUUCAAUCCAUUUGGUGAAUUUGUCGACUGCCACUAGCACAUGAGUGAAGCCACUCCUGCCAGUCCUCAGAGGUCCAACCAUGUCUAACCCCUAGACAGCAAAAGGCCAGACGAGUGGAAUGGUCUUCAGAGCAGAUGCAGGCUUGUGAGACAUGUUGGAGUAGAACUGGCAACCUUCACACUUGUCCACUAUUUCCUUUGCCAUUUCAUUUGCUCGUGGCCAAUAAAAUCCCGCUCGGUAUGCUUUAGCCACGAUGGUCCGAGAGGACGCAUGGUGACCACAGGUCCCCGAGUGAAUGUUGUUGCGGAUCACUCGACCUUCUUCUGUUGUUAUGCACUUCUGGCAGACUCCAGUCACGCUUUCUCUGAACAGCUGCCCUCUUAUCACACUAAAGGCUUUGGAUCGACGGACGAUCUGACGAGCCUCUUCUUCAUCCUCUGGGAGUUCCUUCCUAAGAAUGUACGCGAUGUAUGGCACAGUCCAGUCGGGAGUGAUGACCAAAACUUCCAUGACCAAGUCGACCACGGCUGGGACUUUGACUUCAGUCGGAUCGGUGGCACUCUUUGGUUGCGGGGGCUCCUCAGUGAAAGGAUCUUCCUGAACUGAAGGUGUAUGAAUAUGUUCCAGAAACACAUUGUUGGGAAUGGCUUCUCUCUUGGAACCUAUCUUUGCCAAAUCAUCAGCUGCUUGAUUUUUCAGUCGGGGUAUGUGAUGGAGCUCUAACCCCUCAAACUUCUUUUCCAGCUUUCUCACUGCAUUGCAGUAACCAGUCAUAGCUGGGCUUCUGACGUCCCACUCCUUCAUCACUUGAUUAACCACCAAAUCAGAGUCGCCGUAGACCAUGAGGCGACGGACGCCGAGUGAAAUGGCCAUACGCAACCCGUAUAGGAGGGCUUCAUAUUCAGCUUCAUUGUUGGAGGAAUCAAAGUGGAUCUGGAGAACAUAACUGAGAUUAUCUCCUCGGGGGGACACCAAUACCACCCCAGCACCGGACCCAUUCAGCAUCUUGGAGCCAUCGAAGAACAUGGUCCAAUGCUCUGAGUGAACUUUAGUCGGCAAUUGCUGCUCAAUCCACUCGGCAAGGAAAUCAGCGAUUGCUUGGGACUUGAUAGCCUUCUUUGCCUCAAACUUGAUAUCCAAUGGGAGGAGUUCAAUCGCCCACUUCGCCACUCGACCUGUUGCAUCUCUGUUGUUCAGGAUUUCAGAUAAUGGUGCAUCGCUGACGACUGUAAUGGAGUGAUCAGAGAAAUAAUGUGCAACCUUCUUCAUGGUCAAGUAGAUUCCAUAAACAAGCUUCUGAUAAUGCGGAUAUCUUUGCUUGGAUGGAGUCAAAACUUCAGAAAGAUAGUAUACUGGGCGUUGAACUUUAUAAGCUUUUCCUUCUUCCUCCCGCUCGACCGUGAGUAUUGUGCUGACAACUUGUCCAGUGGCUGCAAUAUAAAGCAGUAAAGGCUCUCUGCUGAUUGGGGCAGCAAGCACCGGCUGGGUGGAAAGCAGGGCUUUGAGCUCUGCAAACGCUGCGUCAGCUUCAUCAGUCCACUCGAACUUGUCAGAUUUCUUCAUCAGUCGGUAAAGAGGCAAGGCCUUCUCACCGAGACGAGAAAUGAAUCGACUCAAGGCAGCCAAACAUCCGGUGAGCUUCUGAACGUCAUGUACGCGCACAGGGUGUUUCAUUCGGAGGAUGGUACCAACUUUCUUCAGAUUUGCGUCGAUCCCCCGUUCGGAAAUGAGGAAACCGAGUAAUUUCCCACCUGGGACUCCGAAUGUGCACUUCGACGGAUUUAGCUUGAUAUCAUAUCUUCUCAGGUUGGCAAAGGUUUCAACGAGGUCAGCCAGCAGGUUGGAACCUUUGCGCAACUUGACCAUGAUGUCAUCCAUGUAUGCUUCCACAUUCCGGUUGAUUUGAGUGAGCAGGCACUUCUGAAUCAUUCUCAUAAAUGUGGCUCCGGCGUUCUUGAGGCCGAAUGGCAUGGUGACAUAAUAGAAGCACCCAAAUGGAGUGAUGAAAGCUGUUUUUAUCUCAUCGGGCCCAUACAGUCAGAUCUGAUGGUAACCGGAAUAGGCGUCUAGAAAAGGCAGUCGCUCACACCCCGCAGUUGAGUCGACGAUUUGGUCGAUGUGGGGGAGAGGAAAAUGAUCUUUCAGGAAGGCCCGAUUGAUAUGUUUGAAGUCAAUGCACAUGCGAAGCGAGUCGUCCUUCUUGGGGACCAUGACCACAUUGGCAAGCCACUCGGAGUGGUAAAUCUCUCGGAUGAACUCAGCUGCCAGGAGCCGAGCCACUUCUUCACCAAUUGCUUUUCUCUUCUGCACGGCGGACCAUCGAAGAUGUUCUUUGACUGGCUUUGCUUUCGGGUCGACUCGCAAACGGUGCUCAGCCAGUCCCCUGGGUACACCUGGCAUGUCAGAAGGUUUCCAUGCAAAGAUGUCCCAGUUCUCACGGAGGAACUGGAUGAGCGCUUCUUCCUAUUUGCUGUCGAGCGUCGUUGAGAUUUGAGUCGGAGCAGCAUUGGGAUCGGUCGGGUGAAUAUGAAUCGGCUUCGUUUCACCGGACGACUGAAAUGCAGAGUCUGUAGCAGGCUUCUUGGCUCGCAGCAAAUCACUCGGAUCUGCAUUUUUCUGAUACUCUUGCAAUUCAACUACUGCCAUUUGUGCAUCAGCAAUUUUGGAACCCUUCUGAAAGCAUUCCUCUGCCUUCUGUCGAUUGCCCGUGACAGUGAUUACUCCUCUGGGACUGGGCAUCUUCAAUUUGAGGUAUACGUAACAUGGUCGAGCCAUAAAACGUGCGUAAGCGGGCCUGCCCAGAAUAGCAUGAUAAGCACUCUGGAAAUCCACAACUUCAAAUGUCAACUUCUCUUUGCGGUAAUUCUUUGAGUCACCGAAAACCACGUCAAGGGCGAUCUGACCGAGUGACUGAGCCUUCUUGCCAGGUAUCACACCGUGGAAACUCAUAUUGCUUUCGCUAAGCUUCGACAUCGGAAUGCCCAUCCCUUUUAAGGUUUCAGCAUAAAGGAUAUUCAGGCCGCUGCCACCAUCCAUUAGCACUUUGGUCAGUCGAGUGCCUUCUACCACAGGGUCGACCACCAAUGCUUGCCUCCCAGGGGUGGCUAUACGCGCUGGGUGAUCAGACUGGUCGAAUAUAAUGGCAGUCUGAGACCACUUCAAAUAACUGGGUGUUGCCGGAGCAACCAUGUUCACUUCUCUGUUGAUAACUUUCAAUUGACUUUUGCUCUCAACAUCAGCAAAAAUCAUCAGAGUGGAGUUGAUGUUAGGAAAACCAUCAUCUUCUUCUUCCUUGUCCUCACUCUUGUCUGACCCUUUCUCCUUGUCACUGGGUUGUUUCUCUCGGAACUACUGGAUUAGGAGUCGACACUGCCGAGUGGUGUGUUUGGGGUAAAUGAAAUUGCCCUCUUCAUCUUUCUUGGUAUGGAUGUGACACGGUAAAUCCAACACAUCAUUUCCAGCUUGAUCUUUUACUUUCUUGGGGGUCCAGGGCCCUUUGGGCUUCCCCUUGAACUUUCCUUGAACCACAGCUAGAGCUUCACCAGGGGCAGCUGGCUCGGCCUUACGCUUCUGUUUCCGAUUGGAAGUAUCACCGGCGUUCUGGCCGACUGGUUUGCCUUUCCCACUAUGGAGUCGAUCCUCUUCUUCUCCGUUAGCAUACCGAGUGGCUAUUUCCAUCAUCCGAGUCAGGGAAAUGUCCCUUGUCCAACCGAAUUUCAGGACUAGCUCCCGAUACUUCACGCCUUCCUUGAAGGCACAAACUGCUUGAUGUUCAGACACAUUUUCCACUGUAUGAUGCAAGGUAGUCCAUCUCUGAAUGAAAUCUCUUAGAGUUUCACUUGGCUUCUGCACGCAAUGCUGUAAUUCUGUCAGCCCUGCUGGUCGCUUGCAAGUUCCUUCAAAGGUUCUAACGAACACUCGGGCGAGCUCCUCCCAGCUGUAUAUACUGCCAGGCGCCAGCUGAUUCAGCCAUGCUCUGGCCGAGCCCUCUAACAUCAAAGGAAGAUGCUUCAUAGCCACUUCAUCAUUGCCGCCACCAAUCUGCACCGCCACUCGGUAAUCCUCAAGCCAAGUAUCAGGCUUGGACUCACCAGUGAACUUGCUGACUCCAGUCGCCAACCUAAAGUUGGGAGGAAUUGCCGCUGCCCUGAUGGCUCUGCUGAAACACUCAGGACCUGAAACAUGAACCCUGCUGCCAGUCGGCUGGUUUCAAUCACGGCCUUCUCUGUGUGCCCUGUUUCUGUCGACCAGGCCUUGAACAAGAAUCGAUCUUGCAUCAAAGCCUGGCUCUCUGGGGUCGACUAGACCUCUGCGCUCGCCACUGUGUGGGCGUCUGUCAUCAUACUGCCGAGGCAUAUACGAUCCGCUCCUCGGAGGAGGUGUGGGCACUCGAUGACGGUCAUCACGACCGAGUCGGGGAUCAUACUGCUCAUAGUUUCUGUACCGAUCUUGUCGGGGCUCACGUCCCUCACGCCUCGGGGGCGAUCUUGGGUUGUGUGCCGAUUGAACUGUAUCUGCCGUCACAGGCCUGCUGUGAAUCCUGUUCCGCGACUGAGAUACUGCUGUAUUCUGAUCUCCUGCUGCCCGGAGCAAGGCUCGAAUCUGCAUCAAACCUCGGCCUGCUUCCGACUGGGAGGGCUGAAUUGAUUCCGCUAUACGGGCCGCAGCAGUGAGAUUUUCAAUCAGAGUGCGGUAUACCUGCGGUGGAGGUGGAAAAAGUUACCGUCGACUGGAAUCAGGGAUCCGCUGCCGAGCGCGCUCGUCAAGAGCCCGCUGGAGGUUAUCCAGUCGAGUGCGUUCAGCCAAGUUGGCCAAGUGCGCCUCCUCCAAGGCCCGAGCCUCGGGGGUCUCCCCAAUGAUGGGAGUGUGAAGUGCAUCCACAUUGCGGCGGCGAAGCUCUUCCCUCUGCUGCGAAGAAAGUGGCUCGGGGCGGUACUCUUCGUAAGCACGCGACGGAUCGUCGUUGCCAUCACCGCCGUCAUCCCGGGGGAAGCCAGGAGGACUGUGUGGUCCGUCGACCAUUAAGACUUCCGCCGCGGGAUCGCUGCUGUCACACUCGGAUGCGGUCUCUACGGAGCCAGUCGAACAGGCCGUAGAGAGUUUUGUCGGGCUCGAUUGCCGCGACUUGUGGGGUGGCAGACUGACGGGCCACCACAUGUCUCACCCACCGCUGAAGCCGCAACCGACCGGAUCGGUUGCGGCGACGCGCAGCGGGGCGCGAGGACACCACGAGAGCCGACCGGUACUGGGUCGACUGCUGCCGGAGGAGGACGUCGCGGACGCACGCGUGAAAGUGCGUUGCUCCGCGGACGGGGAGCGCCUCGACAUCGAGUGGAGCUUCCUGGAGCCAGGCGGAGUCGUCGGCAAUGAAGACGAGCGCGCCGAGACGGAUCUCGCAGCCCUCAGCCAAACCUCCGCCGGAAACCAUGAUGAUGGGAAUCGGAGAAAUCGCAACUUCACCAGAAAGUCGCUAAGACACCUGCCCCACGGUGGGCGCCAACUGUCGUGGUUCUAAGGCUGACAGUAGAAUGGGGGGUAAGUAUGAGGAAGCAAGAUCCUAGCUAUGGCGAAGUUGUACACACGAUUUUCACGAGUUCAGGCCCUUCGCGGAGGAAGUAAUAGCCCUACGUCUCGGUGCCCGGAGGCGAUCGACUGGAUUAUGAGCGUGUGUUACAGGGGGUCCGAACCCUUGUCCCAGAGGAGGGGAGUGGCUUAUAUAGAGUGCGCCAGGACCCCAGCUCCCCUCCGUUACAGGGAUUCAAUGUACAUAAAGAUGGGGCGUUACUGGUAACGCCAGCCAUAAGUGCUAUAAAUGACAUUAAAGGCUGCAGAGUGAACGCCCGACCGUUGCUGUGCAGAGUGACUUUAGAUCUUCUGUCUGUGGAGUGGUUUCUGUUACGGUCGAGUGACAUUGAAUCUUCCGAGUGGAAUGCUUCUGGUCGAGUGGAUGAUGCUAUCCUUUGAAUGUCUCUGACUUUAGGGUGAUGUCCUAGGGGAGAGUGUCUGGGUCAGGCCUAUGACCCUACCCUAGGUACAUAGCUUCAUCAGUGGCACCGGGAUGCCGCCGGCGCUCAACCUCCACGUCCCCGGCACCCGCAUGUCCGGGGGCGCCGGGUACUCCGCCUCGUACAGCAGCCACGCCUUCGCCUCUUGGAGGUGGCGGCGGCCGAAGCCGUUCGCCGCCGUGCCGUCGCCUGGGUACCUCUCGGCCAUCUUUCUUGUCGGCGGGGAGAGGGGAGAGAGUGUUGCUUUCUGCGCCGAGAAGGGGGGAAAUGAGAGCUGUGGCGUCCACCGGCGGGGAGGUCGCCUUUUAUAGCCGUAACUGGGCGGCGUCGAGCUGCAUGCCGGACGAUGCGUGGCUGGACACAUGUGGCGGCGCGUUCACUGCGCCGCGCAUGAGGCAUCAAUGGAGGCUGACCGGCGCGGCAGCGCGGCAGCCUUCGCAUUGAUUCCCGCGGGAACCGAGGCGAUGAGGGCGACGAAGCGGCGUGUCGCUGACUCGGCGGGCCCAUCCACUUUCGUGCCAAAACGUCUCGCCCCGGCACCCCCGGGCGCCCCCCAGCGCGCCGGGUUCUGCCUGGGUCUGCCGGCGCCAAUUUCGGCCCAAGCCGGCGAAAAACGGGCUCCUAGGGGCGCGACUGGGCCGUUUUUUGGGCGCGGGCGCGGGAAAAACGUCUGGGGAGGGCCUGUUGGGGGCGCGGCCGGAGAUGCUCUAACUUUGGAUCUAUUCAUCAACUUUCAAGGUAGUACAAAGAACACCAGAAGUAAAAAAAUACAUCUUGGUCCAUAGACCACCUAGCGAUGACUAUUUGCACUGGAGCGAGCCGAAGGCGCGCCGCCGUCUUCGCCCCUUCCUCAUCGAAGCCGGGCAAACCUUGUUGUAGUAGACAGCCGGGAAGUCGUCGUGCUAAGGCCCCAUAUGACCAGCGCACCUGAACAGCAUCCGCCGCCGAUGGAGAGAAGCGUAGAUCAGAAGGAUCCAACCUGUAGACACACGAACACAGACGGAUGAAGACAAGAUCCACAUGGAUCCACCGAAGACAAACGCCGACCGAAUCCCGUGAGAUCCGUCGGAGACAAACCUGCACACGCCCUCCAACGAUGCUAAAAACACCAUCGGAACGGGGACAAGGCGGGGAGAACCUUAUUCCAUCAGCAGAGAGCCGCCGCCGCCUCGCCUCUCUGAGCAGGACACAAACCCUAACAAAACUCUCUGUGAAGCAGGCAACUGAGCGACGACUACAAGCAUUGGGGGGUAUCAGGUGAAAACACACUAUCUUCUGAAAAUCUGAAAAUUUUCGUUGUGGUCAAUUUGAUGUCAUAUCAGGUGAAACCACUGCUCAAGUUAGGCGCGUAUAAAAAUGAUGAUUAGUUGGCUAAAAUCAGGAGACACUGAGCUCAGAAACUCGGAAACUGGAAAUCUUUGCACAUUGUUCUAGCUGACAAUAAGCAUAAUUUGCAGCAGCAAGAAUACAAACAAAAUUAAUGUACAACUAGAGGUAGCAUGUAUAUAUUAUAUGCACAGACAAGAAGAAUACAAAUAGGGUUUUUACUGGUUAAUUGGUUGAUCAUUGGGAAAAAUGUACUAGUAGUGUAUAUGUUUGCUCUCAAUUGUCUUUUCCUGUCUGAAUCUCUGGUUAUUCCACUCCUCAGCACAAGAAGGAAGACCUAAGUUAUUACGUAUGGUGAAUCUGAGAGAGGGACAUCGGCGAGGGGUAUGGGCACGGCAGUGGACAUUGGAUGCUGAAUACGGCGACACGGCACGGCAGAAGCAAAGCACUUCCCAACCUUGCCGAUCCGAAAUUCAUUACAUGCAGAUGGUGGUAAUUUUAUCUCGCCCCUAGUUGUUGGCUCUGAAAUGAGUAGGUAGGUUUUAAGGGACUGACGCAUGUAGAGCUGCAUUAGGCACCCGCGAUUCUUCCUCAUGCGUUAUGCUGCCGAAAUUUCUAGUGAAAGUUUCCACGACUUGUCAAAAUAUUGGCCUUGUUUGUAAGAAAAUAAAAACUUUAGGGUCUUGGCUGCAAAAAAAUGUGUCCUUAUUUGUACGAAAACAGAACUUCAGGGUCUUGGAUGCAAAUGGUAAGGUCUUGGUGUGACAUGAAACUGGUCUGGCAUAUACACCAAUUAUACUGAACGAAAUUUGCAGCAGUUGCAAAAUUCAGACAUCAAUUACACAUGAGCUAUUGGCGCCUUGCUGAUGCGACAAAUAGAUUUUGCAUGGUUGAGGUGUAACCUUUUCUAGAUGGAGCACACAUAACGGUUCUUCUAUAGGAAAAUAGCAGUCAUCUUGGUAGUAGUUCAAGCACGGAUUUGUGAUCUUCUUGGUGGGAUCGUGUGCCUGUUAUCAUUAAUGAAAGAAACAUUAUUAGGAGGGAACAUCCAAGAGAUUGAAAACAUAGAAAGAGAUCUAGUAGCAUACAUCAGAUCCAAUGCAUUUAGAUGAAACAAAUCCCUUGCAUUAAUUGAUCAAUUGUGAUCAUAAUGCACACUAACUACUGAAAAACAUGCAGUGAAAUACUCCUAUGCUUUUCUCAGCUAAGUAAGAAUACUGCUACAGUUUGCAGACUCUUCCUCUGCUUUUCUCAGCAAGGCUGCACUGCAUGUCCAUGGAAUUGCAUAACUUGAGCAACAAGACUCUUCUUCUGCUGAGCUGAUUCGAUCACUUGAGCGCACAUCCGUGGAAUUGCAUCACUUUUCAGUCCAAUUUCAAACACAUUACAACUUCCUAUCCUCCCCUCUACAUUCACGAGACCAAGUUGGCAGCGAGCCUUCGGGCACCUUGCACAGUGUUGGUGCGUACCAAGUAGGCCACGUGAGGAACAACACGGGCGGACCAGCAGUGUCAUGUACAUGAUUGUGCGGACAGACGGCAUGGAUAGACCGACGAACGCGUACAACGCGACACGCACCCAGCUGAGACCACCGCGUGUGCACAUUUAGGAAGAGUGUUUCUAUCUAUUAUGACACGUGCAGUCUUGGGUUUGCUGAGAGGAACAUUAUUUUUCAUUAUGGAGAUUUGCAAACAGCCUUUAGGAUGGAUCAUCCCUAGGUCCCUGCCUAGUGAAAAGCAUUCGACAAGGCUGCUAGUGAACUGCUCGCUGAUGUGACAUAUCCUUCAGGAAUUUGUGUUGGGCUGGGGGGGGGCAAUUUUUUUUAGAACAGGAGGAGGACCCUCGGCCUCUGCAUCUGGACGAUGCAUGCAGCCACUUUAUUAAUUGUGCACACAAGACCGUUGCUGGGGGAGCAAUAGCCCCCUCUGCUUCAUGUUGUUCUUUCCAUAAGUAAAACUCAGUUUUGCCUAGCCCUUGCCUCAGUCAACUCCGUCCUCCUUAACCACGUGCGGCCGUCGUCCUUGCCUACUGUGGCCCGCCUCAGUCCCCCCCUUCUCCACGAUGCCAUUCGACCUGCUGCUCCUUCUCUGCAGCACUACAUCUCCACCACGAUGGAUGUAGGAGCUGCUCCUCGUUUUGUGCAGCCCAACUGCUCCACGAUGGAUCCAUGGCCAUAGCUUAGAUCUUCUUGUCAAAUCCCUCCAUAAUCCCUCUGUUUUGCACUGUUUCUAAUAUUUUUUCACUUUUGUCUAUUGCGCAGAUCAGGGAUGUUUUGUCGAUCUGCUGUCCGAUUGAAGGUACAUGUCCAAAAUCCCCUCAAAUUUGUAUGCGGUGUCUUGUUGCAAUGUUUUACAUCUAGAUAAUUGAAUUGUACAGCCCAACGUCAGAUCAAUCAGAGUUGGUUGGUUGAGUGGAUAAAUGAAGAAAAUAAAAGACGAAAGAGGAAAAGAAUUGUUUUGACUAAUUGUUUGUUGAAACAUGUGCUCUUGCAUUAGCAUUUGUUACUACCCAAAGGGGUAGGGGACCAAGGGACCUAAGAAGUUUUGAUGAUGAUGAAGACAAGCAUAGUCAUAGGAAAUAUUUGCUUAAAAGUUGUAUGAUGGAGCUGAAGUAACAUUGCUAUGGUCAAUUGCGUCUCACACUGUACGAAACUUUCAUGACCUUUGCACCAUGUUACGGAAGAGAUGUGGCCUCCGUGAUAGUGUAUAUGUGACCGUGGAAGAGAAAGUUGCAACGUUCUUGCUUGUAGUUGGUCAUAGUAUUAAUAUGAGGAUGUUGUGUGGCACCUACAAGCGUUAUUUAUGGACCACUAGCACACACUUCUCUGCUGUUCUAACAGCCCUACUCUCUCUACAUGGGGAGUUCAUUAAGCUACCUUCCUCUACCUUACAAAUGAAAGUGGUCUGGUAAUGCACUUGGAGCACUGGAUGGUUGUCAUACUGACAUGCUUGUUGAUGUGGCUGACCAAGGAAGGUAUAGGAACAGAAAGCAAGCGAUUAGCACUAACAUGCUAGGUGUCGUUGAUUUGAACAGAAUUUGUAUUCGUGUCAUUUCAGUUUCCUCACUGAUUUGGAAUUCCAGAUCAAUUCAAUACGGAGCUCUCCAAUGGAGACAUCCAAACAAAGCGUAAUGGCAAAAUCUCCCCAGAUGUUUGUCAGCCUCAUGUGGCUUCUAUGCACCAGCCUUUGAGUCCACGGUAUGUUUGUCAUAUUCAUAUGUAUUUUACUAUUCCAUAUAGAUCUUCGGAUUGGGUCUUGUUGUACCCAUCCAUCCAUCGGUUUAGGAGUUUUAGUUGUACUAUCAAGUUUGACUAAACCUGGUAUGCAUACAAAGAGGCGUGGUGUGUGCAGAUAGUUUAUCAGGCUAAUUUUCACCCAAGAAAUAUAAUUAUGUAUGCUAUACGUGACGAAAGGGGGAGUGGAAGACAACAACUGUACAAGCAGCAUCCCAGUACAGCCAGCAAGAAGGGUUCUACCAGCAACGUAUUUUCCUCAGACAACCGUAUCAAGACAGUGCGACCUAUGCCACUGCAGCCAUGAUAAAGAGAAAAACUAUUAUACAACAAUAUGCUGCCAGGAGAUAACUUGCAAUGAUCCAGUGGAGCCGAAAGGCACUUGUACACUCCGCAGAGUCUCAUGCGGCUGUGACGUGAAAACAUGCAAGUAGUACAUGCAAAUGAAAGUUUUCGUUGUGUGUUUUUUCUUUAAUAAAGGGGCCACUGGUGCCAAAACAUGCUUGACUCAUCUGCCUUGCUCAUUGUGUCUGUGUGCAAUCUGAAUCUUCUGUUUUGUUUUUGGGUGAAAUUUGCCGGAACUGAAAACGAUUACCAGCUGACCAAGCUGACCAAGUCAUCGGUUUCAGAAACUACAGAAGUGACUUUGGUUGUGAUUCCUGGAAUUGUCAAGGAAUCCCUACGCUAGCAAGCUGAUUUAUAUGUUGGGUGAACGACUCCAUCCAAUAUACUCCUGCUUUUCUAUGUGCUUGCUUUAACGGUGUUAAUGUGCAACCUGGUAUACUAUCUUUUGCCGCUUGAAGGAUGAGCAAUAUUGAC
rnacentral:lncRNA from 1 species